rnacentral:lncRNA from 1 species
GGGAUUACCCAUCAGACUCGUCAAUGUCGACAACAACCAUAGCAUUAUAAGAAAUACAACUAGAGAGUGACAGUUAAAGAGGGUGCCAUUGCAAUCCAAAGUGGGGGGACCAGACACAAAUCCUUAAACAUAACACUUAGUGUCCCAAAUAAUUGAGGAAUCAGAAACAUCGAAUCCUGAAAAAAACCUAGUGGUGUUUUUACGAAAUCUGACGAUUAUACCAUAUAUGAUUGAACAAAUAUCCAUGGUCACUACUUACAGAAACUGAUGUGUACUAAAGCUCGGCAGCUUGCCCGACAUACGAUAUAUAUUUAGUGACAGAUAAAGAAAUGCUACCAGUAAUGUUACCUAUCUAAUAGUAUUUAAAUAUUAGCUUUAACUAUUUUAUGUUCAAAGUUCUCCAUGUUACUUUCAAGGCUAGAGAUAAGUAUUACAUCAACAAAUUCUUAAUCCAUGGCUCCAUUGAAAGAACUACGGUUCAAAUCAACAUGUGGGGGCAUCUCUUUCAAUCAUAUGAGAUAUACGGUCCACCAAAAGGUCCCAACUCUUUCUUCAUAAAUAAGUACAUGUGGAGACUAUAGUUUAUUAAUUAACUGGGUUGCAACAACAACAAUUUACCUUUUUGGGUCCCAACUUCCACUUAGCCCAAUUAGUUUCUCACAGUUCUGAGGAGAGAAGGGAGAGGGGAAAUGGGGCAAACAUUAGCUAUGAAAUAUCAUCAGUUCAACGAAAUGCAGAUAGCUCCUGAUAUGAAGCAGCAAUGCAGAUGCUAUUCAAAAUUUCAAACCACAUCUAAAUCAUUCGCAAAAAAGUUAAUCAACUUUCAGAUGUUGUGAGAUGCCUACUCAAUGCUAACUGCCCUUUCCACAACAAAGAUUGGAGUAUAAGUAGCAAAACCUAGAACAUGAAACAUAUAAUCACCAAUCACAAACCUGAAAGAACUCAAUUCUCUUGCCAGAAAGUAAAAGGAAAAAAAGAACACUGAACUUGACUUGAAUUUUAGACAUUUAUCCAUCCGAUUCUACAAAUAUAUCCAGUCAGAAAAUGUUUGUUCUUUGUGCUGCACCAUAUGCGAGUGUGAGUGAGCUAAUCAAUUUGACGUACAAAUAAGAUUAACAAGUCACAAUGAAUCCAAACAUCAAGCCCUCAUCCCACAAUGAAGACAUGAACCUAGUUCAAAGUCAGUAUUUCUGUCCAAAGCGAGUGUACCCUACAUGUCUGAUAUAAGGCCUUACUGAUUUCUACUAGUUUUCCCCCUCCCUACGCAGCGUAUUUGUGCUUUCAAACUUGCAAUUACAAAACUCAAAGUAUUUAUUUAGGCCCACCAUUCAUCAUUUGAUCAAAAUUCACCUCUCUUUAUGACAUUUGUACUUUUACAUACUGUCACCUCUAUUAGGUGAACAUAUAUUGUGCUUUCAAGGGCCCAAUUUGAUUCUCUGAUACUAAAACCAACAGAAUCAAGUCAAAAGUAUUUCCUUUACCUUAGAUCUUAGAAGCAUAAACCAUUUAGUGGGGUCAACCAAUUUGAUACUAGAUGCUAUGCGCUCUUCUAGACCUCCGUUACCGGCCUUGAAUGGAGUAAGACUACACACCAAUAUGAAUAAGAUAAUGCCACCAUCACAUCAGCAAAGAAAAAUAAAGGAAACCAAUUUUUAAAGAAAUUCUAGAGGAACUGUUAUGCUACAGAUCAACUACAUUUUGGGAAUGAUAAGAUAAGACGAUAGUAUAGGUAGAUCAAGAGUUAGGCUAUGUAGCACAUGUAUACAUAAAUCUUGCGAUCAAAAUGAAAAGAAUUUUCAUAUAGUUAUAAAACAAAAUUUAUAACUAUAGCAUUGGAAGAUCAGGAGAUGACUAUGUAGCACAUAUACAUCCUGCAUACAUAAGAAAAGACUUCACAAAUAUAGCAGGUAUUGAUAUGGAGCAAUUUUGGUGCCAUUAUUUCAUGCAAAACCAAAUGAUAAGCUGGUUACAAGACCUAAUAAUUUGAGCAACUCAGAUAUUGGGAGAUGAUAAAUACUUAAAGAAUAACUCUACCUACACAGUUAACUUUCCAGUAAAAGAAAUAUAUAUACAAAGUUAGUUGCAGAUUUCUUACAUUCUUGACAAAACUCGGCUUUAACAUAAUAAAGUUUAACUCAAUUUCAACAGUAGUUGAUCAUCCAGGAAACUAUAAUUUAUCACCGAAGUCUUUGACCUGCAAUAUAUAGGUCCAAAAAUCAGAGAGAUGUAACAAUAUGGACAUAUACAUAAUAGUAACAUCUAUGGGACCACGUGGAAAACAUAAUUCAUAUAUACUGCCCGUGAAACAGUAACUUACAAUGCAAGUUCAUUAAGGCUGAUGCAGCAUGACUCAAAGUUACAAGCUCACCUUCUUGACAUGGCAUUAGAGAAUGUGUAAUUGCAUCAUCUGAAAAAUCAUCAUAGUUUCAUAUUUCAGUUUCCAUGAGCCCCCUCCCAUAGAUAGACUUCCUUCAAAUUUCUACUGCUGCUCCUCGAAGUGACUUUUCUUUCUUCUUCUUCUUCUUCUGGGCCCACUUGGGUCCAUAAAUAGCCAAGUGUGUCCUGCCAAACCGUCGAUCGGUUAUCUGCAGUUUCAUAUGAAACCAUUAGCAAUUAAACCCAUCCCAAACAUUCUACAGUUAUAAGGUCAGGAUAGCUAUCACUAUCUCACAUUUCAUAAUGCUUUAUCCAUUGUAAAACUACUGAUAGUAUGCAUUACCUUCACAAGGCAUCCACAUGAAUCCAGCAUGUCAGUCCUUAGUGGGUACUCAACUACCUAGACCAUGAAUUUGGAAGAUUAGUGAAGAACUGGCAAAAAUAUAAGCAAUAACAGAAAUAGAAAAUCACAACUUACUAUAAAGCUAUCUUCUCCAACUAGAUCUGAACUUGAUAUUUGAUCCAUCAGUACUGCAUAGUCAACUUCCAUAUACGGUGGGGUAACGCUAAUGUAAUCAAAUGGUUCUUUACCUGCAGGAAAUUGAUUUUAUUUUGUAAUGACUGGAUACAAAAAGAGAAUGAAAGAUGGUAUAUAUGUUGUAAGAAAUAUGACGAUAACGAAUCUAAGAUUAUAACAAUGUUUGUGCACAAUGAGGUCACUUCUAAUCCGCACUUAAACAUUUGUCUAUGGUUACCACACACACACAGAGCAAGAAAGAAAGAGAGAUUAUUAGCACAUACCUGCAAGUUUCUGUGCACGUUCCAUGAAUUUUUCAACACGAACAGUAUGUAUAACUGACAUAUCAAGAAACCCAGUCCAUUCCAAAUUUGGGCGUAAAACAUCUGAAACAACCCAUGGAUCCAUCUCAACAAAAUGUACCUGGAAUUUGUAAUUGGUGAAGGUAGGAAAUUCAUCAAGAUGUAAGUUCUUGACCCAAAGACACAAAAGAUAUAAUAUGCUACGAAGUACAACAAACACAGAAAAUAAAUGCAUUGCAAAAAAAAAAAAUUCAUUGGAAAUUCCACAUUCAAACCCCAACUUCACCUAAAAUUAGAAGACUGCUUUAGACUGUUGUAGGUCCAGAUAUGAAUUGAGAACUCACCAAAGUACAUACGUAAGUCUAUUGUAUUAAACAUUGAACAAUUUUGUAGUACCAAGAGAUAUGAACUAAUUUAUGAAUGGUACCUCGGAGCAUCCUCGGCUAAUAGCUUCAAUUCCAACCGAUCCAGUACCACUGUACAAGUCUAACCAACGGCCAGGCCUCAAAGAUGCAGGACAACCACCAGCAGCCUAAGAUUUGCAGCGCAAAUAUUAAUUUACAAGCACAGAUGUCGAAUACAGGCACAUAUGUCGUAGGCACAAGACUUACUUACCUGCAGGAUAUCAAAGGCUGCACCUUUCACAACCUCCAUCAUCGGGCGCACAUCCAUACCUUUUGGACUUAGCAACUUCAUUCUCCGCGCCUUUCCUCCAAGCACCUACAUUGGCCGUAAUCAUUGGCUGCAAUUUUAGACUCAAGAAAUAUUACUGUAAUUGGUAUUUCACUAUUUCCAACUGCCAAACAUGUUAUUGUAUACCGCCGUUUCGCUAAUCAACAAGUAGCAGCUAAAUGUGUUCUUAACUUGCAUUAAAUUAUGAAGGAAAGACACAAAAUUUGGAGAAAUUACAUACAGUAAGCAACUUAUGGGUUGUUCGAGCGGCCUUCGGCUCCUUUGGUGUAAUUUCAACGCCCCGUCCAGACUCUUUCAGCUUUUUCUUCCUCUUUCCCUAACAUUCCAAUUCCCAAACGUAAAUAUACACAUAUACAUACAUAUAUAUUUUUUAUAUAUAACAAACGGAUUAAAGAGAGAGAGAGAGAGAGAGAGAGGGUACGUUUGGAGAGGGCUCAGGAGAUAAGGAUUCAUCGGGGUUGAAGCCGUACUGCUCCAUCAACACUCUCUUGGCCUCACUCCACGAUUCCUUCUCCGACUCUGCAACCAUUAACACACAAAAAAAACUUCAAAUUUCUAAUAAAAACGACGAAAUUUCAAUCGAAUGAACCGAGUCGUAUAAAAACGACGAGGUUUACUGGAAGCGAGGACGACGGCAGGUGAUUGCCGUCGAUUGUUGCAGAAAUUGAUGCGAGGAAGAGUGGAAGAAGGCGAGACAAAUUCCGUAGCUGUUAUCUUCAUUCGGAAUGGAGAGAGGAUCGGAGAAGAUGAAACCGCCAUUGCCGCCCUGAGCUCAGAGCUCCAACUCAAGCUGUAGACUGUAGAGUGAAAGCUUCUCACUUUGUUAUCUUUUUCUUUCUGUUGGGCUGAAUACGAGCUGGGCCUAUGUAUGUGGGCUUUUAUGUGUCGAAUCAAUACAAAUCAGAAAAAGGGUGGAUGGGCCUACAAUUUUAGUCGGCUAGCCCAACAACCAGACUCUUCCUCGAACCCGGUGCCUUGUUAACGCGUCCACACGUGUCCGAAUCUAUCCACCAAUAGCGUCACCAAACAGGAUCUCGCAAACUGAGACACGUCAGUAUACACUAACGCAUGGAACACAUGGUAUCUAGCUAUCACGAUCACGAUCACCCUGCCACGCGGCAUUCGGUAGGCCGUCGAUUUCAUGCGUGGAAAGACCGCGUCACUGAAACUGGAAAAAAAAUUGGUGGCAGAUUGUCUUCACACCCCUUCUCAUCCUCUUCUAUUUUGUGCGGUCAUAUAAAGACACGUUAAUAUUUAUAUUAAUUAUUUUUAUAAAAAUAAUAAGAUAAAAAAUAAUAAGAAUAUAAAAUAUUUACGUGACUUAAUCGUGACCAUAUAAAUAGAAGAUGAUAAAUAAAAGUACCAAACAGAAGGUAGAUAAUCUGCUUCCAAAAAAAUUUCAUUAUGAUGAUAACAAAAAUAUAAAUAAUACAUCACGUAUUUUAUAAAAAUUAUAAAAAAAUUUAUUUUUUAAAUUAUUAACUUCUCAACUCAUAUAUAAUAUAUCACAUCAUUAAUACACGCCGUAUACCGGUGACGUUGGAAAAUCUCUAAACUGGACUCGCCCACCAACUUUGGCCAGUUACGAUGCCGCAAGCGAGAGAGAAAGAGGCGUCGAAUCUUGAUAAUUAAUUAAUUAAUUAGUUUAAGUAUUUAAUUUUUAAUCAAUCGAUCGAUCAGAGAGUGGAGGAGCAGUAGCAGAAGCACAAGCUGCCCAAUCCGAUUGGAAAGUGAGGGAAUUUAGUUUUGGGGGAAAUGGGGGCUUGUGCUUCGAGGCCGAAGGGCUGCAGUUUCGGAUUCAAGAAGAAGAAGAAGAAUGACGGCGGCGCCCGCCGCCGGAGGCGAGUCAUUCCCCGGCGCGUUUCGUCGGCCUCCGAUCGCUCUCACUCCGUUCCUACACACCAAGGUCUUUAAUUUACUCUUUUGAUUCGUUGGGUUUCCGUUUUUCUUUUUAUUUUAUUUAAUUGGACGAGUUCUGUCCAGCAGGAAGUAUGGAUGCAUCGUUUUUUGAUGCGAAUUCGGCGAUCGAGUCGGAGCGAGAUGACGAAUUUUACAGUGUUCAUGAUGGUAUUUUUCAUUUCUCAAUUUUCAGUAAUUUUUUUUUCCAUUUUUUUAAAUAAUUGCGUAGGAAUUUGGCCUGAAUUUUGUAGUUAAAGCGAGUUUGUGCAAGAGUAGUUGUAGGAAGUGAACGGUGGAGUUGAAAAGUGGGUUGCUUUGUAUUGGUUUGCAGAUGUGAUGUCAUUACACGAGUCGGAAAGUGCAUCCACAUUGAGUGUGUCUUCACCGAGAGGUCUUUCUCGGCUGGCACUGAAACCGCCGCCAUUGCAUUCCACCUCCGCUGUGUCCGCGGAGGUGACUGUGGAUGAAAUUGGCGGAGGGGACAAGAUGCAGGGACUGGAUCAUUGUUGGAUUCUUCAAACUUCUUGCUUGCCUUGUCUUCCUUCCACUUCCAAUAGCCCGUUGGGCGACAAAAGAAUAACCCCGGCCGCGCCAAGCUUGAGGAGGAAAGUCCUUUCCUUUAAAUGGAGGGAAGGGCAUUCUGCUAGUGCUGCAGCUGCAGCUGAUUCCACCCCCACAUUACGUGAGUUUUGCCCGUAUACUUGCCGUUUUGUUAGUAUUGUGAUGUUAAAUCGUGCUACUUAACAAUGUGGAUUGGCAGCUGAUCUUAAUCUUCUGUGUUCGUGUUAGUUUCCCCCAGAACGCUUGCGAAAAGACCACUUGCCGGUUCUACAAUUCCGUACUGUCCCGUUGAGAAGAGAAUUCCAGAUUGUUGGUCACCUCUCGAGCCAAAUACAUUCAAAGUCCGGGGUAAAAAUUAUCUUAGGUGAGAGCUUAGUACUUUCAAUAGAAUUGAUCGAUUUCUUUUUUUCUUGGAACAAUCUGUCUGAUUUGUCUGUAUAUCAACUCUUCAUUUGCUUGACAGGGAUAAAAAGAAAGAAAUUGCUCCGAGCUGCGCUGCAUUUUAUCCUUUCGCCGCUGAUAUUUUCGUAUCUCAGAAAAAGAUUGAUCACAUUGCUCGUUUUGUGGAACUUCCAGUUGUGAGUACCACUGGAGACAUCCCGUCUAUUCUUGUUGUAAAUGUUCAGGUGCCUAUUCUUCACAAAUUACUCUGAACUUAUUUCGUUUCGCUUUAAAUAAUAAUAAUAAUGUUCCAUGCUAAACCUGUUGGUAUGUUCAUAAUCUGUUUGUCCUCUAGGUUCGGAAAUCGUUUUUUUCUUUGGCUAAACAUUCUUUGUAAUUUUUCCCUAAUUGCUAAUUCUAUGUGAAUCUUCUAUGCUACAGAUACCACUUUAUCCAGCCAAUUUUUUUCAAGGCGAUAGUGAUGGAGAAGGAAUGAACUUGGUUAUGUACUAUAAGAUUUCUGAAACUUAUUCCAAAGAGCUUCCCCCUCAUUUCCGAGAAAGUAUCACUGUAAGCUGCGUGAAACUCUAGAUGUGUCCGGUUCCUGAUUAUCGUAUAGUAGACUCAAGACUCGCUCAUUGUGUUGAUUUAGUAUGUAUAGCUUAUUAAUUAUUCUGUGUCCUUGGUUAAUUCCGUGACAGAGACUGAUCAAUGACGAAGUGGAGAGAGUUAGAGGAUUCCCUGUCGAUACAAUUGCACCCUUCAGGGAAAGAUUGAAAAUUUUGGGCCGAGUGGCAAAUUUGGAGGAUCUUCAUUUAAGCACAGCCGAGAAGAAGCUAAUGAAUGCUUACAAUGAAAAACCUGUUCUUUCACGUCCUCAACAUGAAUUUUACUUGGUAAUUUUUGGUUUUGAUUCUCCACCUACGUAAUUAUCGGAAAACACACCAUAUAUCCCCUUUUAACUUUUCUUUCCCGUCAAUCAUACUCAUAUAGGGAGAAAACUACUUCGAGAUCGAUUUGGAUAUGCACAGAUUCAGCUACAUCUCUAGAAAAGGUAUUGAAGCAUUUCACGAAAGAAUGAAGCUGUCGGUAUUGGAUUUUGGUCUCACAAUUCAGGUAAACAAUAUAUUUCGUUAAUCUGAGCAUGGCGCAUUUACCUCAUACUUAAGAUCGACACCUAAUCUGUGCUAUGCAUUGUGAUUUUCAAAUAGGGGAACAAGCCAGAAGACUUGCCUGAACAUUUGUUAUGCAGCAUACGGUUGAACAAAGUUGACUACAAUAAUAAAUCAUUACCAGGAGUUUUGAAUCCAAAGUCUCUGUAAUCCCAACACGAUGCUCGAGUUUUUCAAAUCAAUAAAUAACUGAAAAACAAAUUCUACGAUAAAAUCUGUAUUCAUACUUCUGUGUCCAGUAUGCUUUCGGUUUCUGUUUGCAGCUUCUUGGCAGCAAGGGGUUUGGCUAUAGAUCGGAGCAAGAGCCAGAAUCUUCUCCUCUCCUCCUCCUGCUGCUGCAUCUACAGGUCUCAUUCCUUCCCCUCCAUUUAAAUCCACUGAUUGUAUCUGGAAGCUGCUGCUUUUAUCUGCACGCUGAUGAUCGAUAAGUUCAUCUUUCCAGAUGUACAUGGUAAGAAAGUAAGAAAUAAAGAUUUUCAUUCAUAAUUACCGUCGUGAGGCACUUAUAAAACGAGGUUCCAACUAGGCUGCAGGAGGCCUCAGACAUCGCCCGAAAACCGUAGAAAACGAACAUUUAUGAACACUGUGAUCAGGCUUAGAACGUAAAGAUGAAUCUGGUGGGGAAUGUGAAUCAGCAUCCUUUCUUUCUCGAGACCCUUCGUCUGGAUUUGGAUGUUCUUCCCCGUCACUUUUGUUAAUCGAAACUGUGACCUCCAGAGUCGGCUUUUUCUCGACGGUUUGACUCUUAUCCUCCCAAAUGAGGCCGGAGGAGCCCUGCCUUCGAAAUGACAUCGACGAUCUCCGCAACGCCGUCAUUGAUCGAUACUUUCGGUGUCUUCCCUUCCUCGGUCGCUGUCUUCGUGUUCCCUUGUUUCAUCCGUCUUGUUUGGUCUCUUCCUUUGCUCGGAGGAUGAUAUUAAUAGGCUUUCCUUUUUUAACAAACAAAACAGCUUCUUGUUUUGAGUUUGUGGCCACUUACUCAUAAUUAUAGCCACAAUUUUAUUCUAGAUGCAAUUCAUUACUAUGCCCUUUACCAUCAUCUUUCUUUAGUUUUGGUAACUUGUGAGUCCAUGUUAUAAUAUGAGUGGACAACGACUUUAUGUCUUAGGUUAUAAUAUUAACAAUAAUCCACCCAUAUUAAAAUUAAGUUAAAAUUACGUGAUGUUAUUCUAGUAUUAUGUGAUAAUAUCUCUCGUUCAGCGUCUUGGUGGAGUCUGAUUUCGCAAUUGCUCUCUAGUUGAUAUCACAUGGUGCAAUUGAUAAUAUCCUAUUGAUGAAUUGAUUCAAGCUUGUCGUGCGAUGUUACUGCGUGACCGGAAAUGUAAUAAGCGACAUAUCAAUCGUGAGAUGAAUUUUGUUGAUGAUCAGUUGGCCAAUGUGAGCCUCGCUCAUCCUUUGGGUCCGGUCUAUUUUGAGCAAGCUUUAUCUUCUGUAAGCAGUUAUUAUUGUUUGAUAUUUUUGAGAUCUCUUGACCUCGCGACAUCAUUUUGUAAUUUCUCUUUUGUCGGGCUAUUAGCUCCUUUGUGUAACCCAAAAAAAAAUCUCCCUCAACCUUAAAUAAUUUGAUACUGAUUAUUGUGGUCUCAUCCUUGGUGGUAGGUGAAAACAGACGCAGAAGUUAAUGAAGGGUAUAAACCGUAUAGGAUUAAUUGGACAUGAAAAUUAAAGCUUUCAUUAUGUAGUUAACGUAACAUAUUAAAGCUAAGACAAGAAAUUAACUACUUUAAUGCAGAUGUGAGUUAUUGUCAGUAUAAUGGUAGUAUGCUCGUCCGUUGCAUCCAAGUUCGAAUCCUUUUCUUCUAAAUUAUAAUAGUUUAUAGGAUAUCCUCAUAUCAAAAAAUAGUUUAACUAAUUAAUAAUCGAAAGAAGCAUCCAAAAGUUGAGGAAAAGCUGCCUGCAUCUCACUGUCUUGAUCCAAGAUAGUCUCCACAAACGAACACAUGGAAGUUGAAGAAGCUUGGUGAUCAGGCCAGUCAUAGCUCCUUUGACCUACAAAAUCACAUCCCUCAAUUGCAUCGGAGCUGCCUUGCACUCCAAAUGUAGGGUUUUCUGGAGAUGACAUCAUCACCCCAUGCAAAUCUUGUUCUUGCUUCAAAUGAUCAGCUGAUGUAAAAGGAUCGUACAGAAGAUACUCCCUCCAAUUGAACGAAGAAGAGGACGGCGUAAUCUGAGCCUCGUGUGACUCCCAGCACGCGUUAGUUGGUUGCGAAAAUCCUUGUCCAUUAAUAUUAGGGUUCAAGGUCACAUUGGUGUAUGGAAUUCCUGUGAUGCAGGAAGAGUUUAAUUCGGGUGCGAAUGCACUUUUCGAUUGCUUGAAAAGGGACGAGAACGGAUGAUUCCCGUCAGUGCUUGGGAGGCCGCUGAUGUUUCCGUAGUCGGAGAGGAUCUGAGAGUAGGGUUUGUGGGUGACAGGGUCAAUUCCCAUCUUGGAAAGCUUCUUUUUGAGCUUGGUGUUCCAGUAGUUUUUGACAUCAUUGUCCGUUCUUCCUGGUAGUCGUUUUGCAAUGCGAGACCACCUGCACUACAUAAGCAUGGAGAGAGAGAGAGAGAGAGAGAGAGAGAGAGAGAGAGAGAGAGUUAUUGUACAUGCACUUCUAACAGAAUUAAUACAGGCUGUUAAACAGUUAGUUAUAUAUACAUAUAUAGGGUGAAAAUUCGAAAACAUACGCUUUUAUACACCUUUUUUUAGGGUCAUUAUGUAAUGCAUUUUAACAAUCCAAACCGUCUAUCUUUUAGGUUUCUCUCAAAGAUCAUGUCUACCAUAAAUCAUCCAAAUUCAAAAUCACAUGACUAUUGGAUUAAAUUUAGUGAUAUAAAAUCGUAUUUGUCUAUUUUCUUCACUACAAAUGAAUAUCUUAAUAGUUCUGGAUUCAUCUAAUUUUUGUUUUGAUACAAUCAUACAAGUGAUGGUGAGACGGGGCAGUGCACCUAGGAAUUCGAGUGCAUAGAGAAUAAUGAUCAUAAACACUUGAGCUACAAGUCCCUUACUCCUAAAAGAGUUCAUUAAAACCAAAAUAUCACACCAACCAAGUUAGGGGAAAAUACCGCUUGACUCCUUACCUAAUUACAAAUCACAAUAUGACGUCUAGCUACAAAUCACAGUAUGACGUUUACAAUAUUAUUAACUCAUUAGAAACACAGAAUUUCUUUUACAUGUACAUUUAAAAUUUUAAUUUGUUGUUUUUAUUGGGAAAUUCCCUAAUUUUCUAGAUAUAUUAUUUACUUCUUCUCAUGGUAAUCUGGGUUAAUUUCUUGGUUUUUAUAUACUUAAAGAUAUAAUCUUGGUUAUUUAUGUUAUAUUUUACCAGUUACGUUCACAUGAAAGGAGAAAAGUAAAAGAAAAACUACUCCACCUGCUUCCUAUGGCCUUGUGCAGGUCAAUGAUAUGCUCUUCCUCUUGAGGAGUGAAGUUGUCAUGCUUGAGGUCAGGCCUCAGGUAAUUAGUCCACCUAAGCCUGCAACUCUUCCCACAUCUGUUGAGUCCUGCAGAUAAACUCAUCAUGCAAACACGUAAAUUUUAAACAUCGGACGAACUAACGAAAUAGUUAUCAAACAGACGCUUAGAUAAACAGUUAACGAAGUUAACCAUAAAAAUCGAACCUGCUUUUUUAGGAACCAACGUCCAAUUUCCGACUCCAUGUUUCGAUACAUAGGCAAGAAUUUUUGGUUAAGGCACAAACCAACCUAUGCGCCCUCUCUCUCACCCAGCUGUUUCAAAUUGGAUGAAUUAUUUGGUUAAGGCACAAGCAGAAUUAAACAGUUGGACAUAAGCUUUUACAGGUCGUGAAUGUUCACAAACUUGGAACCGGACAUGCAUUAGGUUGACAAUUUCAAAUACGUACGUAGAUAAAACUAGUUCCCUUUCAUUUUGGCCCUAACUUUUCCAAGGGAAUGUCCCCGCUUCCGCAUUCAUUGCAAGAUUCAGUGAAGUUCACAGACAGAAGAAGAGAUCGUAAAUCGUCAAGGUAAAGAGCUCGUGAUGCUUCAACGGAUAAGGGAUAACCGUUAAGACUCCCAAAAUGUCCUUAACGUUAAAAAUGAACAGUACCAUGAGUAUUUCGUUAAGACUCCCAAAUUAAAAUUUUCAUUUUUGUAAUAGUAAACUGCGCAACAAAUGAAUAAUGUUCUAAAGUUUCCAUCUGGGGCACAGCAGCUCCGAACAUAUAUCUCACUAUGGCAGAGCUCAAUGUUAUGUACACCUAAGCAUUUAACCGCGCUCUGUAAAUAUUGACCUCCCUUAGGACGAACACGCAUCGCAACUCUUCCUGCAAUAUCCAGGAAGGCCCUGUGUGCCUAUCAUAUAAGUCGGGUUCUUUUGACAUUCACCGGCUUUAGCCCAAAGGGGGCAGUUAUCAUUCUCGUCUGAACAACCCUUGCCAGUUGCAGACUUUAAUAGCGACUUCUCGAAGGAUCUCACAUGAAUCCACUUGGUUGCAGACCAUUUCUCGCCCUCAAUGACAGGGCAACUCCCGUGCAAGCUGCUUGGAUCGGUGGUUCCAUUGGGAUGGAGACUGAAGAACAUCAGGGCAUCACCCUUGUACGGUUUCACUGUAGGGAUACAUAGACAUAGUAAAUAAGUGACUACAACACAUAUAAAACAGUAUAACAGCAAAUAUGUUUUGUAUGCAUUUCAAACUAUAAUUCACUACCCCCUUCCGCACUUUACACAGAACAUGAAUUUCAAACCAUAUCAUAAUGUGAUACCUGAAUAGCCGUCUUUAGCACAAUCAGAAGCGUCGUCAUCCUUAAUUUGAGACAGUUUUCCCUGUCAACGCAUAAGAAGAUGAAUGAAAUUCAAGAGGUAAGGAAGGAGAAAGAAAAGGAGGGCAAACGAAUUCAGUCUUGCAAGUAAUCCAUUACCUCCGAAUUGGGAAAGACUGUUUCCCCACCCUUUUCAACAUUAGAGAGAUACAUUAAUACAGUGGCGAUACGGUGGCCACCCAAUUGUUGGUUAGCCUUGUCAUGAAAAUAAUCAAAAUGCGGUUCGUACUUUUGACCGUGUUCAUAGUGCAGUAUCUGAAUGGACUCCCCAUUUUCUGAUUAGAAAAAGAAAGGAAGUUCAACAAAGAUGAAAUAAGGCACUUUCUUAAGAGUCCAAUAAACUGUAAAUCAAAAGCGCGAGAGAAAUUUUACCAAUUGGAAGAAAGGUCCAUGCAGCAAUCCUAGCUUCAAUGUUAGCAACUACUUCAUCCUAAGGUGAAACAUAGAACACCAAGUAAACCGUCUGAAUUCAAAAGUCAGAGAAAGCAAGACACCAUAGUAAUGGAACAUGGUUUGCAUUUUCUAAUAAAUGCCUAAAAACAAUCCAUCACAAUGGCUACAUUUACCGCAUAAGCUUUUGCAUAUGAUGGGAUUAUCAUCUAACAUAGAAGCGCAACGGGUUUGAAUCUCAGGGCAUAGUAAGACGGAUUAACUUGACAGCUAAAAAAAAAUAGAAACUCUUCUUCCGAACACGAAUAUACGAAGGUUUGAUCAAUGAUCCCUUUCAGACUCAUUUGACAUGAAAAGUCUACAACCCAAUUUGAUUUAAAUAAGAUGCAAGAGGAUGAUCAUCUUGACGCAUACACUUGCUCUGAGUUCAAUUGUCUAUCAACGACGGAGGAAAAAAACAUAACUAUUAACCCUAUGAAUGUUAGACGUUUCAGGUCUAAUUCCACAAAUUGGACAACACCAAAGGCAAGUUAACAACUCCGCUGAACAAGUAGGUUCAAAACUGCGUGGAGGAACUCGUACGAGUUGAAACUACUGUUUACAGUAUAAAUCAAUACGUAACAUGGUAUGUAGACGAACCUUCAAAAGUACAUCGAAUUAAUUCAAAAUCAUUGCGGCAUUAAUGAAGUAAUUCAAAAUCAUUCAACGAAGUAAAAUGACUAAUUCAAGAAAGCAGAGGAAUUGACAAACCUGAGCUUUCAGAAGGAACAUUCCGGAGCUCGUCCGGACUUCACUCUCUAUACUCUUACCAGACUCGUUAUCGGCCACCAUAGACUUUUCUAGCUUAUUCUUCGCCUACUCCGCGAAAUUCACACAAACCAAAUUAAUACUGAUUAGAGACUCUAAUUAGUGAAUUCUAGAUGGACUAAAAACACAUAAUUCAACGAAAAUAUAGGGAAGAAAAUCAUUUACAAUUUCAAUUAGAUGAUCACAUUCCUCCUCAGAAAGAAAACCCUUGAACAAAAACGCCCUGCAGAUUGUCGAUCACACGAAAAAUUAAGAAAAAAAAACAAUAAAAUUAAUGAAACAAUAAUAAAAAGAGAAAUUCAGCAGAAAUUAUUAGAAAUGCAAUUGAGAGAAAAAUAAAAACCUCACCUUGGACGCCAUGUGAGCUGACUGACACGAGUCGGAUCGAAGGUAGCAGAGGAAGCUCCUCUUCUAAAUCUGAUCACCGAUCCCUCCCUGAAAAUUCACACAAUUUCCAAACAAAAAUUAAAUAAACGAAACUACGAAAAUGUACACAAAAAAUUACGUAGAGAGAGAGAGAUAUGGGAAUACGUUUUCUUCUCGUCGAGCGAUCCCGGAACGAGGGAAUGGGCGAGGUGAGAGGAAAUGCAGAGGAAACAGAGAGAAAGUGCGAGAAAAUAUCCAAGAUCCAUGAGAAAAUCUAAGGUUUUGGUAAGGUUUGUAAGAAAUGUCACAGAAUCGGAGGAAGACGAAGAUGGAAGACUUCGGCCCUUCCUAGGGGUUUUAUGCUGAAAAUGUACUAAAUUGGUGGGUUGUUUUGCAAAUUAAAUAAUUUUCUGGCAAAAAGUUAAUUAAUUAAUUCGAUUUUUUAGCUUUUUCUUCAGUUGGGACAAAUAAAAUGGGCGCCCACCGCAUCGUUUUGGUCCGGUUUUGUUUCUGUUGUCUGCAGUCAAAGCCCCAAUUGUGAUUGUCUGGAAGGUUCCGUUUGUUUGAGGUAAUGUAGGGUACACAAGGUCAAAAGGCUAGUCCAAAGAAAGAAAAACAAAUAAAGGGUCUCAAGAGAAAUUUCGGUAGAACUGUUUGAUUGGAUAGCUUUCACAUAUAGUAGAUCAGUGUAGUGUUGGAUCAAACCCAUGUUUUGUAGCAAUGUUGCAUUGUCUUACUCAUCAGGGGUCUGAAACUUAUGAUGACAACGGGGUUUAGGUCGUCUGCUUUAGCGUCGUUUGUUUUUGGAUUUGUAACUAGUUGAUUCAGCAGGUCAGUUUAUACAUGUUCUUUAUCGGAUUUGAAUUUUCAUGGUCAACGUCCUGCUGUUUGAUCGACCAACAAUCUUUAUGAGUUAGGCGUAGUUAGGCACUACAACUAAAUCAACUUCCCAUUCGGCAGGUCAGUUUAUACAUGUUAUCGGAUUUGGGUUAGGCGUAUAUGGGCUUGCAUUGUGUAACACAAUGUUAAAUAUUGGGCCUAGAAAUCUUGUGGGAAUUCCAACUCCCAGGGUGCUGAUACCCAACCUCUUUAUUGUUGGGCCAGUUUAUAUUAACUGUUGGCCACACUUUUAACUUACGUAUGUUUCGAAGGUAAUAAAGCUACUCUUUUCAUAUAUUUGUAUAAUUUUUUUUAUCAUUUUUCUCAUAUGGACGGGAUUUCAUGUGUUGGUAGACCUCACCUCUAUUAGAUAUAUAUAGUACAAAUGAUGGUACAAAUAUGUGGUAGUGUAGCAUUACUUUUUAAAGAUUGAUUAAUUUCCUAAGACUAUUUUUUCGGACUUGAUGAGUUUUUAAGCACAUUCUAAAAGGAGAUAUCAAAUGUAAAAUAUCAAAUUUUAAUUUGAGAACUUAUGUGGCAAUUUGGUAUCCUACAAAACUUCUUACUCCAUCAUAUAUCAGAAUGUUUCAUUUUAUAUUAUUUUCCAUUUCUAUUAAAGAAAGUGGAAAGUAAUAAUUUCAAAGGAAACCAAAAAGGUUGUAGUUAUUGUGGACCCUAUCUUAAUCAAAUUAAAAAUAUUUGGAAGCACCUGCUUCAAUUCAAGUCAGCAUUUGGUUCAUCGGUUGGAACCACUUUUGCUAUUAAAAAUAUACGUUUUUGUCCAACUGACAUUAAUUUUUUACAUCUCCUUAAUUUGGAGAUUCUCUAAGAAAAUUUUCCGGCUCUAGGGUUUUUAUCAGUUAACCUUUAACUGUGUUCCUAACUAACGCGAUAUAAAAAUCUUUGGUUUUAAUCAGUAUUUAAAUUUGUGAUAUUUUUUGACAAACUAUGAUAAAGUUCACAAACAAAUGCAAUAGCGACAUUUAUAUUGUCUUGCACGAAACCUCUAAAUCAAUACCAAUCAAACGAAAAAUAUUAUUUAAUGGGGCAACUAGCCUUUGGCUAAUCAAAACUAACUCCCAAUUGAAAACCAAAGGAAAAAUACAUUUAAACUCAGGGAAAAAAAAUACCAAACCAAAGGAAAAAUACAUUUGAACUACUGCAACAUAUUAAUUAAUUAAUUUCCAUGCAUGAGAAAUUUUUUAGUGUGCCGAGACUACGAUUCGGUAUAUUGAAUGUCAUAACCUGACUGUAUUUUCGGCAUACUGAAAAAUUUAUCGCCAUGCAUUGCCAUGCAUAGGUUGUUACCCAAUAUGCAUGUGAUUAUCUGAGAUUAACUUUUUGAGAAACAAAACACACACGCUAAUUUGUAUAUAAUUUCUGUCUUAAUUAAUCACGUUAUGGCUAGCAGCCCAUAAUUUUAUUGGCUGCAGCCGUACGCUUAGACCUUUCCUCGACGAUGCCGUCAUUCCCCGCCAAUGCCCGGUACUUGUCCUUCCGCGUGAAGGUGGUGCACUCAUACGACAGGCUCGCAGCGAUGGUCCUCUGCAUGCAAUUCGCCACGUCGUAGCUCGACUUUCCGGCUCCACAAGUCAGCUCGUACGGCAUCUUGUUUAAAAACGUUACUUCGUACGCCGGGCUAGGGUUCAUGAAGAAGUAGAACGGGUCCAUCCCCUUCCACCCUCGGGCCGUCGUCCCGUGGAACAUGCUCAUGCUGUUUGACAUGGCUACAGGGACGAGCUCGUUGGUCAGCUCUGCAAACAGGGCGGAGAAUCGUAGCAAAAAUGGUUCUCGGCACGUUGUUCCCUCGGGGCAUAUGACGAGAUCGCCUUGUUCUAAGAGGUCUUUAAUCUGGUUCGCGUCCUUGACCCGGUCCCGUGUGAGUCGGACGGUUUUAAUUGGCGAGAUGAGUUCGGAGAGACGGGAGAGAGAGUAGGUCACGGCCGGGAUGGGCCUGCCCAGAGCGAUUGAGAGAAAAAUCGGGUCGAGGAGAGUGCGGUGUGAGCAAAUGAAAAGGACUCCGGUCUGGCCUGUUGAUUUCUUGGCGGGAGGCGGUGGGGUUCCUUUGAUGUACACCCGUACGCCCAACGCCCAUAAAGCGUAGUAUACGACGGGCAUAGGAAGCAGUGCGCCCGCUGCCAUUCGCAAGCAAGCUAAAGUAAAACCGACCGGGAUCCAAAGAAUUAUAAGCAACGCCAAGAGCGGCGAUGGCUUCUGAACCAGCCUUCCGUCGUGAAAUACUAUCGGUUUUGGCAACUUGUCGAGGCUCACCGCCGCAACUUCCGGCGUAGCAGGAACCACAUAGCUUUCCUUGCAUAACUUCAUGAAUGGGUAGUCCGUUUUUCGGUCGCCAAGCCCGACAUCAGGAGCUGAUGAGGGGUCAGUGCCGAACGCUUUGUUAAGCGCGUUGGCCUUGCCUCCGUCGACCAGAACCCCAGGACUGAGGACCCAACCUGUGGCUCUGCUUUUGUAGGUGGCGAUCUCAGUCCCGAGAACCAUGUCAGCGCCCAAAAACUCCUUCAAAAACGGCUCCACCAUUAUCCUCGGGUUUGCGGUCAGAACGCAGCGUUUCCCACACGAAGAAAAGACUCUCCACGUCUCGGGGUGCAAGUCGGCGGAAUAGAACUUGGGGAGGAUCGCACGCGCCACAGAUUCUAUGUCGGAGACUCUCAUACCGGCGAAAGUGGCGAAAACCAUGACACGAAUGCCGGCUGACUCCGAGACAAAGUAGUACAGCAGACCAAUGAGUGGAGACGCCAGUAGUAAAAAGAGAAGCCUUAGUAUGCCGCCGGCCUCAAAGGCGACGAGGGCAAAGUAAGGGAAGGAGCUCCGUCCUCUUAGCAAAGUGCCGUCCAUGUCCGCCACGACAGUGUGUUUUUCGCGACCGAUUGAAGGGCAGCGGUCGAUUGCCGGCAAGGUAGGAAGAGAACCUUCCUUCAUACCGGUGGCCAUGGAGGGGAUCGAAAGUUUUGCAAAUUAUACCAACUUGGCUAUGGAAAAAUUGUUGGUACUAAUAUUUUUUUUCCUAGUAAUUUGUUAUUAGUACCUGCCUAAUAUGGUAUGUCUGUGGAUAUAUAUAUAGAAAGAGAGAAAUAGGGUGGUUGCUUGAAUUUUUUGACUUAUGUGACCAAUGACAGUGUCGCCGAGAGAAUGGUGACACCAUCAUUUGACUCAUUACCCAUUUGUCUUGUGUUAGUUGCGUUGUGUGUAUUAGGCUUAAAUGCUUAAUAAUGAACGAGAGAAAGAAAAAUGCUAAUUAUUGUAUUAGGGCUUAAAAUUAUGGGCCAAAUUAUGGGCGUCGAAACGUUUCAUUAUCACAUUGCGUUACUUAAUACUAACAUGUUUAUAUUAUAACAAGAUGUUGAAAAAUUUAAUAAUAAUAUUAUUAUAUUAAAUUUAUUAAUUGAAUGGAAAUUAGAAGUGAAGCCAUUUGGUGGAAAGAUGUGCCUAAUCAAAUGAAGAGUUGCAAUUUUUUACUCUUCAUGAAUAGUCACAUGUUUUCCAAAGAGGUAUCUCACAUUCUAUAAAUAGGGAAGCCCCCUAUAAUCAUAAAAUAACUUUUCAUCAUACAUAUAUAUAGUGCAUUAAAUAUUAGAGAGUUUCAUUGAGUUCAUAUGAGAGAGUUUUCAACACAAUCGUGGUUCAUGGAGCCUUGUGAUUUGGAGUGCUACUAUUACAAGGGCGUGGUCGUUGUAUCUUGGAAGACAUGCGCCAAUCAACCAUGAGAAACCUAAUAGAGCGUAAACUUGUCUUAAGGACAAAGUGUACAACACUGGCCUCAACCGUAUUUUCUAGGUUUUUCUAAUCCAUUAUGUCAUGUUCAUUUAGCAUUGGUUACUCAUGUGCAUGCAUUAAUUUUGAUAUGUAAUUGCAUGAAUUAUUUCUUAAAUUUUAUGUGAUUUAAUAUUACAAUUAGACCCAAUUAUUCUAACAAUCUUAAGACAAGUUUAUGGUUUGAUUGCUAUGUUUGUUUGAGAAUUAAAUUAUCCGUGAUAUAAUACUUGGUCCCUAUAGGCGUGAAUUUUCUUCCUGAUUAAUUCUGUGGGAGAAUGGUCUCAUAUCUAAUCUUGCAUAUGAAGAAGUGGUCUUGUUUUGUUUACUGCAAAAAUAAUUAUUAUAUUCUUGGUUAGUUGGUUACCUCUUUGCCUUGCAUUGAAUUUCAAUUUUGUGAUGCCUGAGCGUUAAGGUUACGAUGCUUAGUGUGAACUCUUUGUUUGACUGGGGCAAAUUUUGUAUGUCAACUAAGUUAUUAAUGAAUUUUACUUUUGGAAGAAAUACAUUGGGUAAAAUUAAGGGAACUUUAACGAAAAGCUCAUGGUACUGUUCACUUUAACGAAAAACCAUAUUUUUACACUAAAAAGUCAAUCCUGGUACUAUUCAGUUUACCCUUUAUUUUGUCCUUAUUAUUAAAACUCAAAGUUUUCAAACCAUUUUCAUUAGUUUUCCUUAAAAUUAAUUAAUUUGAAUAAUAUAUGAAAUGGUGAAACGCUUUGGCUUUGCAAACCGUGAGAGUGUUGGGUAUAGUAAUCAAGAUACGGCUUCACUCUAUUAUUAUUAUACUAAAUAUCCUGACAUUAUUCUAAGGACACGAGUUUUGUUCGUUACGUAUUAGAACAUAUACCUACGUGAUUUUUUGGGAUAUAUGUAUUUCCCGGAAUCUCUUGCAAUUGUUUAAGAUAAUAGUGAAUUGCACACUUAAAUCUCAUUUGGUAUUUGUAAACCAUGCACCUUUUCAAUCUAGAGUUACAAUUAAUUAUCAGAUUAAUCUUGUCUCCUACGCAUCAUUUCACUUGGAAAAGGUACUAUGGCGAUGGGGUAUCCAGUCUGGAUAACCGCAUAAGGAUCGUUUGAUUUCGGUCAUGUAUCAAGCAUCUGCAGAUUGUGCAGUCACCCAACAAUUAUAUAGUUGGUAAAGAGAAGGUGUUUGAACAUUUUCAGGACAAAGCAUGAUAGUAGUAUCGUGUAUAUUUGUUGCUAGUGAUCACAAUAAGGUGAUGAUGGUCAUUAAAAUUGAAGCAUAAAAUGCCUAUGCUCCUUUCGCCAUAAGGUGUUGCCGGGCAUUAGAAGGAACAUUUGCAGAAACUGCAGACUUCCACACUUGCUUGAAUAGGUGCUUCAUGCAUAUUAUUGUUUCAUGUAAGAUGAUCACAAUGAUCAUCAUUUGGUGGUUGACAGUUAUCUCAAGGUGAUGACUUGGCCAACAUUACAGGCAUAUGCAACUCUUGGUGAAAAAUGUUAGUGUGCAAAGGGCAUAGUUUUCACUGUUAAUUGCCUACAAGGAAACAAGCAGAGUUUGCAUCUUUAUUAUAAACACUGUGAUUAACAAAGGAAAACAACAUUGAGAGAAAGAAAAAUAACUACUCCCGCAAAGGGAAGUAAGGUAAAGACAAUUAUUUCCGAGAAGGGAGGUACAUGGGAGAAUAAUGUUUUGACUUCGAAGUGUGACUACUGAAAUUGGUGUUGUCAUUGAUCAAAGCUAGGUAUAGCCAUGAGAACUCGAUAAGUUUAUAGGCUAAAUGCAAAGUUCAAAACAUGUUUCUCCGGGAAGAUGCUAUAGUGAUACUUUAAGGCAUAACAAGUGAAAAUAGAUAAAAACAAAAUAUCUUCAUUGGUUCCUACUUCUUAAGUAUGAUGAGUUAGUAAUUGAUAGCAUUAAAAAGCAAUCACAAUGUAAGGGAAUUGUGGGGGUGGCUUAGCUAUUUUUGAAAAAUGAUAUACUUAAGUAUAAUGGAAAAGUAAUUUGCUUCAAGAAAAGUGAUAUUCUUUAAUUUAAGGUAUUGAAAGGUUAGAGACCUUCCGAAAAAAAAAAAAACCUUAAAUGUGGGGGAAUGUACUCGAGUGUUAGCAAAUUACUUUUUAAGUCCUAACAUAUGUUUUGAAGGACUUAGCGUUGGAAAACAACUACUCUCGAAUGAAUAUAAUUUCAUAAAUGGAAGUGCGCACCAUAAGUGAUAGUCAUCAACCUAGUGGAUCCAAUUAAUUAAAGGUUUGACUAGAGAGUAAGUUGUAUCAUCAAGGAGAAUGGGUUAAAAGCCUACGUCUUAAGAAUCGCCAUAAUGGCAACCCAACCUAGCUGACUGGAGAUCCCAAGAUCUAGGUUCAAAGGGACAACCGAAUUGUGGAUGAUUCAAUGGGAGCACUACGGAGAUAAUCUCCUACCUAUGUCCUAUGAUGAAACAGUGCUAUCUGCAGUGUAUUUAGGAUUAGCUUUGCUUUUAAUGAUUCCUAUACCUGUAAAUAACAAGUGGGGUAUUGCAAGAUACUCUUAAUGGGAAGUCACUUAUCUUGAGUGAUGAGUGAGACCGUUCAUGUGAGAAUUUUUUGAAGGGCUUAGUUCUCUAAAAGCGCUCAUGAGAAACCAAGAAUUGUUCAGGGCCAAAAUGAACACAACCGAGCAACCAUGGGGUGUCUGGAAGGGUAUUGUGUGAUUCUUAUUGUCUUGGUUUACACAAAUGGCUGAGCAGUUCAAGACAUUACGUUUAUUGAUUAGCCAAGUAAAUCCGAAAGUAAUUCACUACGGAAGGUUUAAAGCCAAAAGCCACAUAUCCCGAUGCGGUACUUUUCAUACUGAAUUCUCUCUCUAGUGUCUGCAUUGUCAUUUGUAUGGUAUUGAGUCAAUUUCCAUUCAUGUGGGGGAUUGUUGGAAAAUUUAAUAAUAUUAUUAUUAUAUUUAUUAAUUGAAUGGAAAUUAGAAGUGGAGCCUUUUGGUAGAAAGAUGUGUCUAAUCAAAUGAAGAGUUGCAUCUUUUGACUCUUCAUGAAUAGUUACAUGUUUUCCAAAGAGUUAUCUCACAUUCUAUAAACAAGGAAGCCCCCUAUAAUCACAAAAUAACUUUUCAUCAUACAUAUAUACAGUGCAUUAAAUAUUAGAGAGUCUCAUUGAGUUCAUAUGAGAGAGUUUUCAACACAAUCGUAGUUCAUGGAGCCUUGUGAUUUGGAGUGCUACUAUUGCAAGGACAUAGUCAUUGUAUCUUGGGAGAUAUGCGCCGAUCAACCAUGAGUACCAUGGUGGGAUGUAAACUUGUCUUAAGGACAAAGUGUACAACACUUGCCUCGAUCGUAUUUUCUAGGUUUUUCUAAUCCAUUGUGUCAUGUUCAUUUAACAUCAUGUGCAUGCAUUAAUUUUGAUAUAUAAUUGCAGGAAUUCUUUUUUAAUUUUUAUGUGAUUUAAUAAAGCAAUUAGACCCAAUUAUUCCAACACAUGAAUUAGGUAUAAUAUUAAUAAAAAUUAUAAAUGCAGUAUCAUCGUGUUAUCAUAUAUGUGAACAGACUAUAUCACGUCGGAAUUUGAUUUACUACCAAAAUGAAUUGAUUUUCUAGUCAUGAUAUUAAUCUGUUAGCCAUACAUGACUUAAAUGACUUAGUCGUUGAUCUCUAUUAUAUUUAUAUGUUUUUAUUGCGUUAUGGUGAAAGAAUUUGAAAAUUUAAAAUGAAUUGAUUUUCUAGUCAUGAUAUUAAGCUGUUAGCCAUACAUGACUUAAAUGACGUAGUCGUUGAUCUCUAUUAUAUUUUUUUUGUUUUUAUUGCAUUCUGGUGAAAGAAUUUGAACAUUUAAAACGAGCACCUUCGUACGUCCCGCUGAUGGGCUGUCGCGUCGUGGCUUCGUAUAUGUCCUUAUUAACACGAUCAUGGAAAGUUGUUCGCGUGAUAUUUGUUUUCCUCGGCCCACCGGUAGCCCAAUAACCAUAACCUAAAUCAUUGACUUUUCAAACCUAUCAUUGAUAAUGUGGGGAUGGCAAGAGUGUGGGGAGUAGUUGGGAGAUAAAAAUUACAUGACUUGCACACAUUCUACUAGCUAGAGGUUGACCCGGUCAGGCCGAUUAUUAAACUCUUAUUUCAUACUGUUUGUUUUGAGUUCGAUUUAUAGUGUUAGUGAAUCAUAUACGAUAGUGAUUAGAAAAGGUUAAAAUGUCCUUGUAAGUUUUUUCGGCUCCUUUGAAGAUAGAUUGUCGUAGCUUCUCCACUAGCUGGUUAUUUAACAAAAAAAAAAUUAUGUAAUAGUUUUUUAGAGCACGUAUAAUAUAAAAUGGGGUGUAUGAAAAUCAUAUCCAAAAUUUAUGGUGGAAGACUAUUGUCCCUGUUCUGUCUUGAAUUAUUGCCGUAAUGAAUAAAGUUUUUAUCUUCAACUUACUACUUUCAUAUUUAAACUCUCUCUUUUUUAAAUUUAUAUUAGAAUAAUAAUAUCGUUUUAUUUUAAUAGAAAGUUAUAUUUUUAGGUCUCACUAAUAUAAAGCUAUCCCGCUGCACAUUGAUGUUAGAUUAAAUCCUCCUCCCCAUGUAGUCCAACUCCCAUGAGGCGAAAAUGUCUUUCAGCUCCGAAGUCAAACGGUACGCCAAAAUAGAAUCGAAGGUUCGAAAAAAUGCAUUCAUAAGAAUACAAACUUAAAUUAAAGAUUUCAAACAUUUGGUCGUUUUUCACUGGACCAACUGUAUUAGAUUAUCCUAUGAAAUAUAUUGUUGGUGGGAAAGAAGACUGAAAAUAAUGAUUUGUUGUGUUAAGUUUGAGUAGAGUAUGAGCAAAGGCUAGUGCAUGUAAUUGGUGAAGAAUUGAGCUCAUGGACUGGGUGGUUUGGUUCGUUUCAAUACUGUCGACUAGUAUAACUUUGAAUGAUGACCAUAAAAUGUUAUACGACUUUCAAACACGUCAUUUGAUGAUUCCGUGGAGAGGUGAAGGUUACAUAACUGUUUUUCUUGUUCGUUUAUGGGAAAGAUAGGAAAGAGGGGAGUUUACUAAUUAAUUAAGCUAUAAUUGUAUAAGUUUCGUGCGAAGAUAAUUGAACUUAAAAUUAUAAUGAAAGUGAUACUUGUAGGGUAUAUAGAUUUUCACCCACAAUUUUUAGACACUUGCCUAUUUUUAGUAAUGGUUCGAAGUAAAUAAAUAAGCGAAAUUUUAUUUAAACCCAUGCAACCUCUUUUUACACCCAACUUAAAAUUUUGAAUGUUAAUUAUCUAUUUUACCCUAUUGCAUAAUUACUAUUAAAUACAAAAUGAAAUUAAUAAUAAAACUCAAAUUUAUCAAUAAACCCAAACACUAUAAUUAAACCCUACGAUCAUUCUUUGUUUAUCCUACGUUCAUUUUAACUAAAACCCUAAUAGCUCUCGUAGAGAAAAAUAAGUUUUUCUAUUGAUGGAUGGUGAUUUUGAAGUUUUGAAUCCUCUAACCAAGGUAUGACUCAAUUUAUGAAUUUUUUGUUCAUUCGAUUUCAAUUUUUUAGAGUUUAGAAGAUGAGUAUUUUGGUUAUAAUUUUACUUAGAUAAAGGGAAAGCUAAGUAAGAAUCUCUUGAACAAAUAUGGCAAACUACAGCGAAGAUUUCUUGAAUGAAAUGAUGAACUUACACUGUAGCAGAACCUAUCGAGGAGGUAUAAGCAUGUGCCUUUCCUAUCAGAAUAUGAGGAUUGUUAUUCACCUGCUAUAUGGGACAUGCCUUGGGUUUCAUAGCAAACAUGAAAUUUACACAAGCUCGAAAAUCUACUUAACAAUAGUGAAAGUGGUACUUGGUUUUGAGAGAAACUACAUCCUCAUCUCCCACAAGAUUUGAGACGUUGGCCAUCACUUCUUUGGGGAACAAUGAAGGAUCCACAUCCUGUUCAGCCCAACUGCCAAGCCAAAAAAAUGAGAAGAUCAGAACUUUCGAAAUCAACAGAUGAAUUAUGUGUCCACUCCUUGGAGUUUCUUAAACCAAAUUUUCCUGGAUUUCUUGUUCUUUUUCGAAUCAUAAAACGUCAUAGGGUAGAUAAGCAAGCCAACAUAAGUUCCAUACCCAGAAACACCAUCAACAAUAGCAAGAACUCCCCCAGCGGUCUGCAAAGGCCAUCCUAUUGAAUUGGGUGUAAAAAUAAAUUCACAUAUUGAAUUGGGUUUAUGGGGGUAUAUUAGGUAUUAAAUUUGGGUUUAAAGAUAUAUUAAUAAUUUAGUUAAAAAUCAAAUGGGUGCAAAGAGUAAGUUGGGUGUAUAAAUAAGUUAAAUGGGUUUAAAUAAAUUUUCCCAUAAAUAAAAUGGAAACAAUGAAAAGAUCAAUGAGAGGUAUAAAAAAAAAAGAAAAAUAAUGUGUGUUUAUCAUUUCUUUAUUUUUAUUACAUUAUAAAGGAUGUAUGCUAUUCAUAAACAAAGAUGCAACGACAUUCAAUAUGUAAUGUUUAUACAUGCUGUGCUGCUUGUGUGCAUGCGCGUUAGUGGGAGAUUACCAAAAGUUUAGGGGAAGAAGAGGCUACUCCUCGUCUCAAGGUCAGGGUAUAUCACACGCCUCUUUGUGGGCUAUUGAGUGGGGCUCAACCCUUUUUUUGUUGUUUUUUUACAAAAAACCCACCAAGUGAGAUUGCUUGUAGCGGAACUCAAACCUAAGCCUUAGUUUAUUAAAAAAAGAACGAUCUUUACCAACUCAAUCAACUCUCGUUAGCAAGAAAAUAAAAAUUCCAACUAACAACUAAGCCUUGUACAUGUAAUUGGGCUUCAGAGGAGACGUGAAGCCACAACCAAUAAUGCAAAAGGGGAAAAAGUACCAUGUUGUUGGUAAAUCAUUGAGCUGAAUUUGGCUUAGUUUGUCGCAAUAUUGUUUACAAGUCGAAAGCAUACGUGUUUAGUUUUGGUUAGCUAGAUUAUUGUGUUCCUCCUUUUGCAUUCACGUUUUAAUCUUCGUCCUUGUAUAUAAAAAUCAGAGUAAUUAAACAUAUACAUCGUAUUGUAAAAUAAAACUUUGUAUACACAUUUCUUCGUAUUUUUUAUGGUAAACGACAAAUUUUAUUACUAACACAGUAUAUGUACAUAAACAAAGGCCUAAUUACACAUAAAGCACAAAACAAAAGUUGGACCCCCAAUAGAACGACAAAAAAGUGCUUAAGUGAGAUCAUGUGCAUAACAUGUGAUAAUUCUUUAAGGGCAGAAAGUCAUUUAGCAAGACUUUCACACAAUAUACCCUUUGCACAGUCGCUGUUUAGAAAUUUAGGGUUUACACGCGAUUUGCAAGGUGGGUGUUCACUGAAACUUGGGGGAAAUUAACUUCAUAGUUUGUUGAUGGUAGAUUUGACAAAAUCAUUGAGAUUACAAAAAGUUUUGAGAGUUGAAGUUGCCUUUGGAGGUGCGCAGGUGGGGGAAUCGUCCAAAGUACUGUAAGUAUAUUUUAUAGGGAACUUUAACGAAAAGCACCCGGUACUGUUCACUUUAACGAAAAACCACAUUUUUACACUAAAAAGUCAAUCCUGGUACUAUUCACUUUACCCUUUAUUUUGUCCUUAUCAUUAAAACUCAAAGUUUUCAAGCCCUUUUCAUUAGUUUUCCUUAUUUUAUACCUUUUGUAAUUGUUUGUUUAAUAGGAAGAUGUCGGCUUUACAUGGUUUUUUUUCUCUCUUUUAUAGCUUUGUAUGAGAUUUCGUUUUGGUUUCAAAUUGUGGUCAAAUGUAUAUGUGGUCUUAAAGAAAAGCAUGUGGACCUUAACACGGAAAGAAGAAGAAGGGAAUGGGUGUGCCAGGCAACAAUUGGAUUUUUUUUAACAACUGAUGUAUAUGAAAAUGAAGAUGCUGAUGUAAAAAUAGAUUUUUAGGUCUAAUUGCCAUCUACCGCAAUCUUAUUGAUACAGAAGUACGAAAUCUAGUCACUAAAGAAUCAGUUUGAGCCUCCAUUUGGUUAGGAUUUGCCAAUUAUAACUUGUAGAUGAUGCGUUCAACAAUGUUUUUGAAUUUGUUGGUUACUACCUUGCAGUUGCUUUAGUCAGUUUGUCGUCCCAUAUCCUUUUUUUUUUUUCAAGUUUUGGAUCAAAAAUCUUGUAAUACCACUCUGUAGAUUCUAAUACUCUCCAUGGGAUGUGUUAUGUUAUUUUUUUUGUUUGUUUACAUUGUAGGGAUUUGAACCUUGGGCCUUUUAUUAUUUUAACAAAAAUAGAUUUUUAAUUAUGUGUCUUUAUUUUUGUAGCUAAGCCUGAUUUAUUCACAAUAGAGAUUCACCAUGGAGGUCAUCUUAAGGAUGGAGAGUAUGUUGGUGGUCUUGUACGGUGGGUGGACAACUUCGACGCUGACUUAAUGUCUAUGCUAGACAUAUAUGAUGUGGCUGUAUCACUUGGCUACAACCAUCUACAAACGGGGUUUCACUACAAAGACAAAGUAAAAGGGUUUGUCCCUCUUAUUGCAGAUGCCGAUGUUAGUGAAUUUGUUUCUCAUAUACCUUCAUUAGGGUUCAAGUUUUAUAUUUGACAAAUAAUGGUCAGUGGGGUGAUGGUUGGGAUAAUUGGUUUGAGACAGAAGUGUUGGCAACUGACUUAGACAACCAUCUUGUAGAUGCUACAGUACAAUGUGAAAAAGGUGUGAAUGUUGAAGCUAGUGUGAAUCAAAGAGUUGAUGUAAAAAUAUUUGAUGUAGAUGCUGAUGAUGAAUAUGAAAAUGAAAAUGAAGAUGAUGAAGAUGUUGGUGAUGAUGAUGAAGUGGGAUCAGAGCUUGAUACGGAGGAAGAUGAUGGUGCAAGAAAGGAAAGUGAAAAUGACUUUGAAUAUGUUGACUCUGAUUAUGUGCAAUCUGAAAAUGAUACUGACGUUGUGAAAGAUGAUACUCUAUUUGAGAGGUUUGUGGUUGAUGAGGCUUUUGAGGCAUCGCAUAAAGAGCCUGACGAAAUUUCUACUGAUGAGUACAACUAAGAGGAGCUGCUAAGCCUUGAUGAAGAGAAGCAUUCAUAUGAAGAAGGUAUUGUUGUGAAAAAGGUUAGACGAAAGAGAAAAGCUCCAAGGUUUAAACAAUUCAAAAGAAAGACUGACUUGUUAAAUCCAACCUUUUAUUUGGGUAUGGAGUUUCCUGACAUGAAGGCAUGCAGGGAGGCUGUAAGGUACUAUUCAGUUGCUAUUAGUAGACCAUUGCAUUGGAGUAGGUCACAUUUCAAUACUAAUGCAAAGUGUGAUAUACUACUCAACAAUUUGUGUGAGUCUUUUAAUGCUGCUAUAUGGCUAGGGUUCGAGAGACAAUUUGGAAUCAUGAAGUUAGGCCCAGAAUAUUUGAAAUAGUUGAGAAAUAUAAAAUUGAAAGUUUUUUAUGCAUAGCCUCAUAUGCUGGUGAGGGAAAGUAUCAGGUGAACCAUCUUCAUGGUGGUAUGUAUGCUGUUGAUUUGGAAGGUCAUACAUGUUCUUGUCGAAAGUGGGAUUUAUGUGGAAUCCCAUGUCCACAUGCUAUUACUGCAAUAGGCAAGAAAGAGCAUAACCCACUUGAUUAUGUUCAUUCUUGUUAUAAGAGGCCAGCAUAUGGCUUAUGAGGGAUACAUUUCUCUGAUGCCUGGUCCAAAAGAGUGGAGGAAAACAGGCCUUGUGCCUAUCAAGCCCCCUUUGUAUCACAAACAACCUGGGAGACCUAAAACUUGUCGAAAAAAGGAAGCUGAUGAGAUACCAAAAAAGGCAACAAAGUUGAAAAGAUAUGGCAUUGUUAUUAAUUGCAACAUUUGUGGUGUUGAUGGUCAUAACUCAGCAACUUGUCGCAACAAUGAGCAUGUAUUUCACUUUCACUUAAUUGAUUUAUGAUAUUCUCAAAUUUUGACUUGAACUUAAUUUAGUUCUCAUAGUUUCACACGCAUUUCAUUGAAAUUCCCAACUUUAUUGCAGAUGGAUGGAUAAGGAGGUAGAAGAGGAAGAGGAGCAAGGGGAGGUAAAAGGAGCAAGACGACAACGUGGAGGAGCAAGAGGAGGCGGAGAAGCUCUAAACUUAACAGGGGUGAUGAAAACCAUCAAUUUAAGUUUUUAUUUUUAUUUAAAUUGGUAAAUAAACUAUUGUUAACAUCAUUGAAUUACUUCAAGGUUUAGGAGGUAAGCAAGAUCAAGUUGAAACUCAUUCUCAAGUUCCAACUCAAGCUCAUUCUGAAUGUCCAAUUCAAUCUCAAUCUCAAGCUCAAAGGACGACAAAUUUUUCUGUAAGUACAUCAUUUUCUAUUCUAUAGGUAUAAAUGAAAAUACAAGAGGAAGGCAUGAAUCUCAAGUGAAGUUUUUAUAUUUCAACUGAUUUAUGUUAAUGCUUUAACUGAUAUUUUUUUUAGGUUACAAGAGAAGGGUAUGUAUCUCAAGCAGCACAACCUUAAGUUGUUGCUUCUACAUCACACCCUCAACCUUACUCAGCCAUUAGAAAUGAAAAUAGGUUUAGGUACAAGAUUCCAGCCAAACGAGGAAGGCCAUGGAAAGUGUAGUUGAUCUCCACGUGUGAUGUGCAUUUCGAGCAGAAUGUUUGUGCUCUUGUUUUGAUAACUAAAACCUUAUUUUGCUUGUGUUUGUUUAAGUGGAAUGCCCAUAUUUUGUAAUCCAAAUUAUAUGGGUUAUAUACCUUAUGGAUGAUAAAAUCUCUUAUGUUUUCCAACUUCUUAAGGAUCAUUUUGUGGAAUUGUAUUGGGAUUAUUAUGACAUUAUGAAAAGUAUGUAAUUAUCUUGAACAUUUUUUUAUGAGUAUUUUGAACAUGUUUCUUGUAUUAAUGCAUUGCUUUGGAGACAAUAACAUCAUGAGCAUUUGUCAAAUUAUUAAUUUGUUAGAGAAAAUAAAAAUGGUAGUACAUGCUUCAAGAAAAAUACUAACUUAGCUACUUAUGAAGACAAUAACACCACAUGUCAUUUUUCAUGCAUAGGACGAUUCCCCCCACUGCGCACCUCCAAGGGCAUCUUCAACUCUCAAAACUUUUUGUAAUCUCAAUGAUUUUGUCGAAUCCACCAUCAACAAACUAUGAAGUCAAUUUCCCCUAAGUUUCAGUGAACACCCACCUUGCAAAUCGUGUGUAAACCCUAGAUUUCUUAACAUCGACUGUGCAAAAGGUAUAUUGUGUGAAAGUCUUGCUAAAUGACUUUUCUGCCCUUAAAGAAUUGUCACAUGUUGUGCACAUGAUCUCACUUAACAGAAAUAUGGAUGGAAAAUCGGCUAAAAAAAUUAGUUUGAGUCCUUAAUUUUCCAAUAGAAAAGUUCAGGGGGGAAAUCGAAAGUUAAGUGAAAGUUCAGGGGGUAAAUCGACAGUUUACUCCCGAUUUUUAUUGACUCAUAUUAUGAAGUCAGUAAAUUAGGUACUCCUCAGUGAGUACCCAAGUAUUGUCCGAAAGACAGCGGGUAAAACGAAGAAAACCGAUAUCAGAAAUGAAAACAUUUCUUCAUAUUUUGGUGAGUAUCCAUUUUCACAAUUUUUUUUUUUUUUGUAAAAUCAUUUUCACUAUUUAGGAAAAGGACACUGAUAAAGUAUAAUCUUGAAGAAAGGCAGGCUGCACUGGAAAAAAAAAAAAAAAAAAAAAAAAGCAAAGAAGCACAUGGAACAAUUCAAUAAAAAGCAGAAUCCAACACUGAUAAAAGCAGAUUAUAUAAGAACAAAAGAGAUCAAAGUGCCAGGGAGACAAAAUCACGGUUCUUUUUUCCUCCCUUUUUUUGUGUUGUCUCGUUCUUAAUCUUCUUUUCAAAAAGUGCAUUUCCAGCCAAAGUUUCGGACAUUUUACAUGUCAAUUCAGACUCCAGCACCAGUAGAUGGAGAGAAACUUACAAGUAAACGAAAAUAUGGAGUAUUCAGUAGAGCUACCGCACUCAGGCCGUAAGUACAAAAGGUACGGUUCAAGAACAACGGGUGUGACAAAAUACAUGGGGACGGCUGGUUUUGUGUGAGGCGAACGAGGCAAAUAGUAUGUGCCCGAUGUUUUUCUCCACCACCAAUAGAGGGACAGAAACUUAAUCACCUACAAAUGAGAUAUGAUUGUGACAGUAUUCUAAACUAAUAUAGGGUAUCAUGUUUUAACUUUUUCAUAUGUCAGUGUUUGAUCUGCUUCAUACCCCACCAUCGUGGCGCAAUUAUACUUUUUAGCAUAAACCUCCCUAUGCACGGAGUUGAAUGAAACAAUCAUGUGAAGAAAAUAUUUCAUUGAGAACAUGAAUAAUGUCGCAAGAAAAAUGCUACAAUCCUUUUUUCUCGUCCCAUCAAAAUUCAUCAGAAAAAUUCAAAAUCUAAGUAUGGACCCGAUGAUCGAUUCGAUUCGGUAGCCACCUUGUUGUUUUGAGGCACUGCGGACUUGAAUGUGUGACUUAGAGUCGCAAGAUCAAACGGUUUUGGAAUCUCCGGCGGGCGCGUGCCGCGGAUGAGAGCCCAAUUUACGCUUGCAAAGAAGGGGUGCUGUUUAAUUUCUGUGGCACCACGUUUAAAUCCAAGUCUCUUUUGAGGGUUCUUCACAAGUAAGCCCCGGAUCAAAUCCUUCGCAGCGAAACUAACGUUGAAUCCAUCCGGAAACUCAAGAGACUGACCGACCACGUUGAACAAUGUCUCCCGGUUACCAUUCCCUUUGAAUGGCGUCUUCCCAUGCAGCAGCUCAUACAAGAAGAUACCGAAAGUCCACCAAUCAACCGCGCUACCAUGACCGUCACCUCUGAUUAUUUCGGGAGCUAAAUACUCGUGUGUCCCAACGAAUGACAUAGAGCGCGCACUCGUUGGCUCAGCAAUAAGUACAGGCAACGAAUCUGAAUUUCCAAAUCCUACUCUUUCGGUUUUCUCCUUGGUUGAUUUGGAGCUAAGAAACCGAGGCUUAAAGCAAGAGGGUUGCAAACAAGCAGGUUGAACACAAACCGGCAAUUUGCACGAGGGAUCAAUGCAUGCUGGCUGAAUGCAGUACGCAGAUAUUCUACAAGACGGAUCGUCGCUGGACUGAACAAGAGUCGGACUCACGUAACAUCUCAACGAUAAAUCGAAGUCGGAAAGCAUGAUAUGGCCGUCCUCCCUCACUAGUACGUUUUCGGGUUUUAAGUCCCUGUACACCACGCCCAUCAUGUGGAGAUACUCGAGGGCGAGAAGCACUUCUGAAGCAUAAAACCUGCAAAACAAAAUGCAAUUUGAUAUGAGCAAAUGUUUUUACUGUUUGAUUGAGAAGUUAGCAUCAAAAUUAACCGGAAUUAGUUAUCAAAUCAUUGGUGGUGGUAGAUAAAUCUUUCAAGCAUUACACUGAAAGAGAUUUACAUAAACCGGAUACUUCGCUAUGAAUGUAACUAAUACAGCAUGUGAGAAAGUUAAAACAUAUGACAUUUGUCACAGUUACAUGGUUAUCGAGCUGACGGUUUCGGGAUCUAGGUCCAAGCACUUAAAAGGGUGUUGUGGCUAUGAACAUAAAAAGAUAGUUGAAAAGUGGAACAACUCGUGAUCUUGCUAUACCCAUAAAAGCUUCAAAAGCUAAUGAAAUUUCUAAAUAUUUUGAUUGCAAAACCAUUUGGAAGGAGAGACCCUUUUCCCAGCGUCAAGAGUACAAGAGUUAAACUAAAAAUAAAUCACUUUUUAUUAUAAUAGUUUUUUUUUCUUCUGAAAAUAGACUAAUGGUGGCUUCAUCACGGUAAUCUAUCUUUUUCAAGGUUGAAAGGCUUCUAGUGGCUGGCAUUUCAGCCUCCUACUGACCUGACCACCAAGCCUCCUCCUCAUGACCAUCAUCGUGUGAAUCAUACAAACCAAUAAUCGAACCUAGAACAUGUUGCGUGGAAUACUGGUCUAAAAUUAGUCCUCAACAUCUCGGGCAACACGUGAUUAGUUUGAUAUUGCUGUGCUGAGAAAAUAAUCACUUUAUUUGUUGCGUAAGAUUGAAAUUUUUUUGGUCUAAAUCAUGUGAAUAAAAAUUAGCUGUGAAAAAAAAAAAAACAGUUAAGCCUAAUCAAAAUUAAAAAAAAAUCAUUUUAACCACGAAAAAAAUUAGAAUACCAAACAAACACUAAGAAUUUUUCAUUUAUAAGACGAUAUUAUAAACCAUUAUAAUUUACAGAGAAAAUAAACGUGUAGCGACGAAAACAAUGCCUUGACCAAAAAAUUACGACGUCCUUAAUAUCAUCAGACCUACAUAAUAUGUUGCAAAUUAUGGGACACUAACCUCGCUGCUUGUUCAGUAAAAUGCUUCCCGGGCUGGCGCUGCCGCAGCGUAUGCAGAUCGCCGCCGCAGCAAAACUCCAUUAACAAGCAAGAAAACUUAUCGGUCUCGAAAUUCGAAUAGAGGGUCGGAAGAAACGGAUGGUCCAGCAACCGUAAUAUGUCUCUUUCCGUCUGAGCUCUGAUCAGCUUCUUCCUUCCCGCCAACAUUCCUCUGUCCAUUACUUUCAUGGCGAAGAAGCAACCCAUCCCUCUCAGCUCCGCCAAGUAGACGCUUCCGAUGUCGCCGCAGCCGAGCUUCUUCAGCAGCCGGAAAUGGCCGAGUCCCAAGUCUCCGUCUUUGGAUUUCACUGAUUGUAUCGCGUCCCACCGCGCGUCGUUGCCUUUGUGCGGCUUCGACGGGCAGAAACUCCGGAAGCUGCCCUCGUUCGGGUCGGACCGGUUGGAAUUUCCCAAGUGGGUUAAGCUGCUUUUGUAACUUUCGUCUUCGCAAUCGGCAUUUUCGGCGUUCUUGUUUGCUUCCGGAGUGCCAUUGCUGCUGACCUUGGUGCUGUCGGAGCCAGAAACGGUGCUGCUACACAUGCUGAUGCUGAAGCUGAGAUCUUGGAGGCUGCUGACGACGGAUUCGCCGUCGUGGGAUUCGGCGGAGUGGGGUGGUUUGUCCAUGGUUGAGAGGUUGCGGAUGAAGUGUUCGAUGAAAUGUCAGAGAGAAAAAAACUGGGGUUAAAAAUGGGUGUUGGUGGUGGGGUGGGGGACGGAUGGGGGGGUGACCGAGGUGGUCAAAGGGAGGACGAGAGAGAUGCGGGCGCGAAGAAGGGAGCUGAGCGUAGGGACCCAAAACAGAGUGUAUAAAAACGGUAUUCAAAUUUGAAAUCAGAGCGUGAGUGUGGGAAGAACGGGGUGAGAUAACCAAUGUCCAUUUUCUUACUCUCUGCCCCAGAAAAUGUUACAGCUUGGAGACAAAACACAACACCGAGAGAGAGAGAGAGAGAGAGAAGGAAACAGAGAAUCCCUGUUUACGAGGACGACAAAAGCCUCUCAGAUUUUUCUAAUGAAACCAAAAGUGCAAAUGUAUAUUAUACACCUCCUCAGCCAAUACCGUUAUUGCCUUCCCCCUCUGGUUUGAGUGUUUGGUGCCAUGUGAUAAACCCACAUCAGGUCUCAAGUUUGGGUUGGUGGGUUGUUCGUGAUUAACUUGAAAUAUCGUCGCGGUGACAUUUUGAUAUAUAGAAGUUUAUCUUGUGACGGAUUAUGAACAGUUUCAGUGUACUGUAUCCAGAAUUGAGUAGAUGGUGAAUAGCAAAUUUGCAAAGUGCAAUUGAUGCAGAGGAUGCAGUGUGGAUACCAUUGGAUAUUCUUGACAGCUAAAUGUGGCAGGAGAAGGAGAACGUAAGGUAAACCACCCUGGACAAUAAUUACUUUUCCAUGUAUGUGAAUAGAUUUUACUAAAAAGAGGCAAUUUUUUAUUUUUUAAAUUUCUGAAACACAUUUGCAGAGACCAGAAUAAGAAAGGAACUCAUUAUUUAUUAAUUUGUUAUAAAAAGGGCAAGAAAUAUCACCAUUGUUAUAACAAAUAGGGUGGUGUUAUUCACAGACUUAUUUUUACCUCUCACACACCACUCUUAAUUUUCGGUUGCGAAUCGAAUGAAUUGAUCGAAGGAUAGAGAUUAGCAAGAAGUAUGUAAGAAAUAAAAAUAAGUGUGUAAAUAACACUACUAUAACAAAUAUUAUUUGGACUUUGGAAAGAAUAAACAAUGCACAAAAACUGAGGGGGUCAGGUCAGAAUCCUGGGUUGAAUUUCUUGGUUACCACAUUAAUUGCACUGAUGAUUAUCUGAGAGUUUUUGUAUUAUUUCAAUUUUGAAAAGAAAAUAAGUUUAGAAUAAAGACUUCGCUCCUGAAGGUUUUAGCCCAAGUGUAAGCAGGAACUCCUGCUGAAACCUUCAGCAGCGAAGCAGCGCUCAUAAGUUUAUAUUACACAAAUCAUUCAUCAUCAUUGUCCAACUGUUGGAAAGCUUUUGCCUUUCUCCUUUCUAUAUAAAGAAAAGAAACUAAAAUGCAAUCGGGUGUAUAAUUUUUUUGUGCCUAUCUCGCUUUUCAGUGCCGUAUCAUAUGAAGAGAGAUAUAGGAGGAACAAAAACAAAGUGAUACACACUCGACUGUAUAUUUUUUUGUCCCUAUCUCGCUCCUCAUGUGCUGUAUCACAUGAAGGGAGAUAUAGAAGGAACAAAAACAAAGUAAUACACACUCGAGUGUAUAUUUUUUUGUGCCUAUCUUGCUCCUCAUGUGCCGUAUCACAUGAAGAGAGAUAUAGAAGGAACAAAGACAGGGUGAUAUACACUUGGUUGUGCCUAGAACUUUUCGCUAUGAAAUUAGAGAACUUAUGGCACAACGGAAUGCAUAUAAUCUUGUAUCUAUCUCGCUUUUCUCAUGAUAAACACAAAAUAUACAACCGGAUUCACCGAAUAAUUUACCCUAUGAAAGAGUGACCUUAAAGUUAGCACUGCUGAUAAUUACCUCUCAUCUGAUGUUUUACAUGUGACCUAUUAUUGGUGAUUUUUCUCUGCAAAGGUAGUUAGACAUUGUAUUGCUUCUCAUGAUUUGUCAACAGAGGUCAAUGUCCAAAUGACAAUUUAAGAACGUUGCUUAAAGGGUAACAUUACUAUAAUCUUGUAUUAAUUAUGUACGAAGAUUGUCCACACCAAACCUUGAAGUGCAAUCCAACAAGAAGCACCAUUUAACUUUACCUAUAUAUGUAGCUCCUAAGCAACAUUGCAUUCCACCUGAAUAUAUGCAUCCAAAACAUGAAGUCGCCUGACUUUGUUGCUGCUUUCUUUCUGUUCCUAGUGUGGACUUUCAUCUUUUUUGGUAAGUUCAUAUAAACAAACAUGUUCGUUUAACAGUUUUGUUUGUCAGGGUAGUGAUUUUCAUACUCCCAUUCUCUCGGUAUGUACUCCUCCCUAAGGGAAACAAUGUUGGGGGGGGGGGGGGGGAAUGCGAAAAUCGCUUUCCUUUGUUAAAGCAGAUUCAUAUUUUUCAGUGUCUAAACUGUUCUUGAACUUUAUUGUUACUAGUUUUGAAUCAAUAUGUUAUAUUGCAGGUCAUGGAACGGCACAGACAGUUGCGUUUUACGUACACAACAAGUGCCCCUUCAACAUAUGGCCAGCAACUGCCCCCAACGCCGGAAAGGCCGUGAUAGCUGAUGGUGGCUUCUACCUCCCCGCUGGCAAGACUCAGCGCGUUACUGCCCCGUGGUCAUGGAGCGGUCGGAUUUGGGCGCGAACAGGAUGCAACUUUGUUUCCAACGGGAAUCCUGCUUGCGAAACAGGAGAUUGUGACGGACGAUUAGCAUGCAAAGGGCUAAUAGGCAAUCCACCAGUGACACUAGUGCAAGUUUCAGUUCAAGGCGACAAAGACAAGCUGAAUUUCUACGAUGUGAGCGUGGUUGAUGGAUACAAUCUUCCGGUCGUGGUCUUAUCAAAUCCAGUAGCAUCCAAUUGCACUAUCGGAGGGUGUUUGAAAGAUUUGAAAACUCGGUGCCCCAAAGAGCUUAAGGUUUUAAACAAGAAAGGGGAAGUUGUGGCGUGCAAAAGCGCUUGCUUGGCGUUUAAUACGGACGCGUAUUGUUGCCGGAAAGAGUAUGGAACCCCAGAAAAAUGCAAGCCGAGUGUGUACUCAAAGUUAUUCAAAGAUGCUUGCCCUUCGUAUUACAGCUAUGCUUAUGAUACACCACCUCCAUUGGUGACCUGCAAGGCGAGUAAGUAUGUGAUCACAUUUUGUCCUGCGGGGUGGGGUGCUGCUGGUGCUGGGUAUAUCUCCAUGUAGGUUAAAGACUAGUUUGCCCCAUGUUGUGUUACUUUGAAAUUCGGGUGUAAAGGCUAAUGUACAAUUGAUAAUCAACACCACAAAUAAUGUUGUUGGAGAUUUAACUGUUACGUUUAUUUUCGUUGGACACUCAAUUUCUCCAAAUUUUAGGGGGACAAAAAAAUCUAGGAAUAGUCUGACAACUGUCCAAACUAUUCAACUCAGUCAAACCAAACCAAUUUGAGCAAUUUGGUUCAAAUUUUACGUUAAAGCAAUGAAAUCUUAUACGAAAAGACUACUCAAAAUUAACUAUUUAGAAUUGACUUAAACCGAACUAAACUGCCAAUAUUACUUUUAUUAUCUUCUUAACACUUACAUUGGGUCAAUGUGGAAAUUCUUCGUGCCCUUUUUUCUCACGAGCUUAAUUAGUUAAAUCUCAACCAUUCACACUUAAAAAAAGUAUGAAUGAGCAAAGAUCGAAGUCAGUAUGCGAUUUGAGGGUUUAACCAAACCAAACCGGAUCGCUCUCAGCCCACCUUUAGGUUAAACUAGCCCAAAAGAUAAGUUUUUGGGUUUCAUUUGUGGACCUUAUACCAUGUGGUAUAGAGAGGCCAUUACAUUAUGAAUACGUAUUAAGUGAAUACAAGGCCCAUUUAUGUCUCACGGCCCAUAUCAAAACCCAGAAGAUUGGCAUUAGGGUUUUUACAUCUCAGCCGUUACCUUAUAAAUAUUCUCUCCUGCAGUUCCAAACCAUCGUCUUCUUCCUCUUCUUAUCACUCUAGGGUUUCUCUUCAACCUCUGCACACGCACACACUCCCUCCGCCGCCCCUCGGCCUCUCUAUCUCUUUACGUGUGAUUUAGUUAGCGUGUUUUACCGCCCCGAUUUUAGUUCUGUGAUGUGGAAGGCGAAUCAGGUGAUGAAGAAAAUACUGCAACAAUAUGAUGGAUACGCUCCAUUUUCCAUGAUUCCUAGUAUUUAAGUCUCUGAUGAUUUCUUUCCACUCUUCCAUUUAUUUAUUUUAUUUCAUGAAUUUCACAAAUUUAAGCCUAUUUAUUUUUCAAUUGUGAUAUGAUGAGGAACUUAUUGGUCCGUUUUUCUGAUUUAACCGUGACCGACAACCCUUAACCAUCUCUGAUCGCUCUUCCAAUUUUACCAAUUUCAAAUUUUCGUUAAAAAUAUCCGAAAGUUUUCUAAUUGUUCUUCAUUUUUUUCUCUGCUGUGAUGAUUUCUGAAUUAAUUCACAUGUCAGACUUCAGAGAUUUAUUUAUUUUAAAUCAAUGAGAAUGAAAAUUCAAAUUAUCUGAGCAGAUCGCAUUCACAAAAAAAAUUGUUAAUUUAUGAUUUUUGCAUUUGUGAAUUUUUAAAUCAUAAUUUGUAUGUAUAAGUAUAAAAUUAUCGAUGAUGACAAAAUCGAAGGCUUGUUUCUCAAGAACAUUCGCAGUGGCCGCCUAAGAGCUUUCUCCUUUCGCCGGGCUUGAGAGCUUAUGCUGCUUUUAUCCUUCCUUGGAUGUCUGAGAUUGACUUCCUUGCAAUUUGUUUUUAUUAUGUUUGAUAACGAUUUCGUUUCAGUUUUUGAUCGUGCAACAUUCGUGAAUUUUGACGUCACAAAGAAAGCCUUCCUCGGCGGCGUUCCUCCCAUAUUUCCGUUCGCGGGAGCUCCUCCGACGUUGUGCGGCGUUUGCUGUCAGACUUAGGCCAACCAAUUUCUCUAAGAGCAUUUUCCACCCCCCCCCCCAAAAGACUUUAAGCUUGAGCCAUCCAGCGCAUUUAUCCACUCAAGGGAACAGUAAUAAACCUUAAUAUUUAUUCACUUUAAGUGAACAGAAAUAAACCCAAGUGAACAUUAAUAGAUCAAAGCAUCUUCAUCCCUAACAAAAAAUAACCUAGUUAAUUUUAUUAAAAUAUUAUUAUAUUACCCCUUUAGACCAACCAAUUUCCCUUAGGUCAUGCUUUUUAACUCUAUAGUCUUACAAAAAAUUAUAUUUUAAUCAAAAGUGUUAAGUUAUAUUUUAUACCAUUUUCAAUCGAGGGGAUCAAAGGAUCAUAGGCGAAACAUAAUCAUUUGACAAAAAACUACCUCAAACCGAUGGGGCCAAAGGGUCAUAGGGUAAACAUAAUUUAUUUUUUUAAGUGUCAUAUUUUGAGUGUCACUUGUCGCCAAAUGAAUAAGCUUUCAAAUUUCUUUUUAUAUAAUCUCAAUAAUUUUUUGGAUAGGAUUUUAAGUGACAUGUGUCGUUAACAUAAAUAACUCUCCAGAUUUCUUAUCUUUAUGUAAUCUUAAUAAUUUUUUGAAUAAGAUUUUGAGUGAUACGUGUUCCUAAAGUGCAUAAUUCUCCAGAUUUCUUAUCUUUAUUAAUCUUAAUAAUUUUUUGGAUAGGAUUUCGAGUGUCAUUUGUCAAGAUGUAAUUUGUUGUGCAAAUUUUAGAUAAGAUUUGUAUCUACGUGACAUUUCUUAUCUUCAGUUUUCAAUGUUGUAUGAAUGGUGUAGGUAUUUAUAAGGAAAAAAAAUUAGAAUUUUUCUUUUUAAAUUCGUCCAAAAAAAACAAUUCAAAUUCUAACAACUAGCUGUUUGCAUUCAAAUGGACUGAGCUGGAGGGUUGACAAAAUAUCAAGCUUGACAUUCUAGAGCUGGAGGGUUGGCAAAAUAUCAAGCUUGUCAUUCUGGCACUAGAGGGAUGGUUGGCUAGCUGGAAAUGACCAGCCCACUGGCCUGAUUUGGGAGUUUUGGCCUAAUGGAACCCAUAAGCCAUUUGGGAUAACCCUCUGUUGGAGAAGAUUUUCGUGUCAUUCCGAACUAUUUUUAGCUCAAUGAUCAUUUGGUCGGGUUGAUUGGAGAUGGCCUUAUAAAUACAUUUGGGUAAUGCACAAAUUUCUCUCAUAAAUAUAUUUGACAAAAUUAAGAAGAUUAAAUUUGUAUCAAAAUUUUUUAAAACAAAAUAUAUAAAAUAUACUAAUAUAAAAACAAAAAUGCUACGUUGCUUUAACAAUUUAAUAUCUUAGUUUAAAAAUAAAAAUGAUAUGAAAUAUAUUUUAAAAAAAGUUGAGUGUUGAAGUGGGACAAGGAUUACUUGCCUUCCUUUUUUUCAUGCCCUUCCAUACCUUUUUGUUUUGUGUGAUCACGGUUAAGCCACGUUAAUAUUUUAUAUUAUUUUUUUAUGAAGAUAACAAAAUAAAAAUGAAUAAUAAUAUCAAAUAUUAACGUGGUUUAAUCAUGACCAUACAAACAAAAAAAAGUAUGAAAAGACAUGAAAAAAGGGAGGGCAGACAGUCCUUGUCUGUUGAAUUGUGGUGUGGAGAACGGAGAAUAAUUUAUAUUGUGUUGGUCAUGCCAACGUAUACUAAUUGGUGACAGAUACUAAUAGAAAAGGUCAGAAGCCGGUGUACUCAUCCUAUUUGAUUUGUAGUGAAGGUGAAUCAGCAAAGAAAAAAAGUAGUCAAGGUGAUUGAUGUGACAAUGCAAUUUUUAUGAGACUUGGAUUGUCUGCUCUCCAAUUUCUGUGCCCUCCUGUUUUUGUGGUCACGGUUAAGCCACGUCAACAUUUUAUAUUACUAUUUCGUUUUAUUUUAUUAUUUUUAUAAAAAAAUAAUAUAAAAUAUUGACGUGACUUAACCGUGAUUACACAAAACAGAAGGGCACGGGGAGGGCACCUAAAUGGGAGGGCAGACAAUCCAAGUCCAUUUUUAUGUGUAAAGAAGGUAGAAUUUAGAUUGGGACAAUGAUUGUCUGCCCUCGAAUGCCUUCUUGUUUAUGUGGUCACAGUUAAACUAUGUCAAUAUUUUAUAUUACUAUUCAUUUUUGUUUUAUUAUCUCUAUAAAAAAAUAAUAUAAAAUGUUGACAUGGCUUAACCGUAACCAUAUAAAACAGGAGGGCACGGGAGGGCAUCGGAAGUGGGAGGGCACACAAUCCUUGUCAGUGGACCUGACUUCUCUGCCCUCCCACUUCUCAUACACUCUCAUCAUCUUCUAUUUGUGCGGUCACGAUUAAGCCACGUCAACAUUUUAUAUUAUUAUUGUUUUUGUCUUUAUAUCUAUAAAAAAAUCAAUAUAAAAUGUUGACGUAGCUUAACCAUGACAACACAAAAUAGGAGGAAUGAGAGUGUAUGGAAAAUGAGAGGGCAAAGAAGCCGGGUCCAUUUAGAUUAGGUGUGCAAAAUUUUUAAUUAUUACACACUCACAAAUUUUUUGAUAUUCUAUGUUUACUAUUAAAUAGCAUGUAAAAUUUUAAUAAUUAUAUUGGUCCAUUUUGAUUGAGGUAAAUUAAUAAACUGUUUAUAUAAAAUUAUAUUAUUUUUAAAGAGGCGUGUUUAAUUAAGAUUAUAAUGGAUUUUGAUGAAUUAAAAUUUAUGAAUUUUAAGGUAAGAUGGAAAAGAUAGUUAACCAAUUUAAUUUUUGACACCUUGUUCUAAAAGGUAAUGAAAUAGGGAAAUUGAUAUUUCCCGGAAUCAAUGAAUUCGUGCUAUUGAAAUUUGAUCCAUGUCUGUGAACGUACACAAUAUUUUGCAUUGGUCAAACUUGGUAGGUGUGGAAAAAGCUAAAUUCAGAUAAAUCAAUGGUGGCCAAAUGGAAGCUGCCAGGAAAUUGAGUUGAUCAGAGCUUUUACUUAGCUGGUCACACUUCUCUCUAGGCAGUCCUCUGUCUUGAUCACCAAGCCAAACUUCCUCAUCAUCUUCUCUAUAUAACUUCGCCUUCUUAUCAAAUCUCCAUCAGAGAGAUUUAGGAUGUGACAGUCGCACCGCUACGUAAUUUCUUCUUGAGAAUACUGUUACUGUCGGACUGUCACUUGAUUUCUCCUUCACCGAUGGCGAAGAUGGGGGAUAUGUGGGGGCAGCUCGGCUCGGUGAUGGCGAGCAUGGUGUUUGCUUAUGCCAUGUUCAAGCAAUUCUUCCCAGACAAUCUCGGCGACAUCCUUGAAAAAUACUGUCACAAAUUAGUAGCCUAUGUCUACCCCUACAUCCAAAUCACCUUCGACGAAUACAACAGCGACUUUUACCGGCGGAGCGAGGUCUACUCGGCCAUCCAGAACUACCUCAGCACGAAAUCCUCGACGCGGGCGAAGCGCCUCAAGGCUCAUGAGGUUAAAGGAAGCAAGGCUUUGGUUCUAGGCAUGGACGACAACGAGGAGGUCACCGACGAGUUCGAGGGCAUCAAGCUCUGGUGGGCGUCCAAGAAGAGCGCGACGAAAAAGGCAUCCUUUUCGUUCUUUCCCGAUUACGAUGAGAGGAAGAUGUACAAGCUGACGUUCCACCGCCGGCAUAGGGACGUUGUCAUGGGGUCGUAUCUUGACCAUGUGAGGCAGGAGGGGAAGGCGAUCGCGGUUAAGAACAGGCAGCGGAAGCUCUACAUCAACAACACCGGAAAGGGCACGAAGUGGAGCCAUGUGGUGUUUGAGCAUCCGGCGACAUUUGAGACAUUGGCGAUGGAUCCGAAGGAGAAACAGGCGAUAAUUAACGAUCUUUUGAAGUUCGGAAAGGGGAAGGACUACUAUAAGAAAAUCGGGAAGGCUUGGAAGAGGGGUUACCUCCUUUACGGGCCACCGGGGACAGGGAAGUCCACCAUGAUCUCCGCCAUAUCGAACUUAAUGAAUUAUGAUGUCUAUGAUCUAGAGCUGACCGCGGUUAAGGACAACACCGAGCUGAGAAAGCUGCUGAUUGACAUAUCCGGUAAGGCGAUUAUUGUGAUCGAGGACAUUGAUUGCUCGCUUGAUCUUACCGGGCAGCGAAAGAAGAAGAAAGUAGAGGAGGCCAAAGAUGGUGAUGAAAAGGAUCAAAUUCUGAAAAAGCCGGAAGAAGAAGAGAACACAACUAGCAAGGUGACUCUUUCGGGGCUGCUGAAUUUUAUCGAUGGCAUUUGGUCUGCGUGUGGAGGGGAGAGACUGAUCGUGUUUACGACUAAUUAUGUGGAUAAACUUGAUCCUGCUCUGAUUAGAAGAGGAAGGAUGGACAAGCACAUAAAACUGUCCUACUGCUGCUACGAGGCGUUCAAAGUUCUUGCUAGGAAUUAUUUGGAUUUGGAAACGCACGAGUUGUUUGGAACCAUUGAGCGCUUGUUGGGAGAGACCGACAUGACACCUGCCGAUGUUGCGGAGAAUCUGAUGCCAAAAUCUGAUGUCGAGGAUGCUGAGUCGUGUUUGAAGAACUUGAUUGAAGCGCUCGAGGCUGCCAAGGAGGCGGCGAGAGUGAAGGCGGAGGAGGAAGCAAAACAGAAGGCGGAGGAAGAAGCGAAACUGAAGGCGGAGGAAGAAGCGAAACAGAAGGCGGAGGAAGACGAAAAGGAGAAGAAAGAUGAAUCUACCAGAGAGGAAGUGAAAUGUAAUGGAACAUUAGCUGAAAAAGUUCAGGAAAAUGGUGCCACCCCAUUAAUAAUCUAAUCUAAACGAAAAGAUUAGUAAUUUGAAGUUUUUUUUUUUAUGUCUUUCAUUAAUUUCAUUACUAUUUAUUAAAGUUUCUUAGAAGUUUUAAGGCUGUAGUUAUCGUUUGCAUUCUCAAUUGAUGAAGCUUUAUCAAUUAGGAUUUAGUGUUGGUUUUUUGCACCGCCAGUGAUAACCUCUUUUGUAGUAGUGAACUAUCUAAGUGUUUUAGUGAUUCGCUACCAUUAGGAUAUUUAGAAAAGUAAUUUGAUGCAAUUUUAGUCGGAAGGUUCCCUGAAAUUGGCGCUGGCUUCUUGUGGUUAAUAAUUGUAAUUUCAUUUAGGAUUAACACCACGUCUUAAGGGUUGCAUGGUUUUUCAAAGGGUUUUUAUAAAACUUAAUGAGUCUUUCAAGUUCAUAUUUGAUUUGAACAUCCAAACGGAUUUCAUGUUAGAUAUACGUUCUAUGUUGGAGGUUCCAAAUAGAAUAUAUCUUAGGAAAACUUAACAUUAUAAAUAUGCAUGGAUAAUUCAUAAGUAAUUGGAAGAACUACGUAGGAUUGCUAAUGUGACGGAUGAACCCUAGGGCUUUAAAGUGGUUUCUAGUUGACUUAUUUAUUUAUUUUUAAUUUAAAUUCGUUUUUAUUAUAUUAAAUUCCAAAAUCAAUAUUUUCAAAACUUUGUUUUAAAUAAUUAAUUAAGAGUUUGUUUUAAACAUAAAUUAUUCAUUCAAUCCCUGUGGAAAACGACUUUGCUUGAGCUGCUACAAUAUAUGUUGGUUGAUCGAACUUUUAAUCUACAUUAUUGUUGCAGUACUUUACGGAAAAUUUUGACUACUAUAAUCCUGCUUACAACACUAGCGUGUUGAAUGAAAGAUUAUGACCUCCUCUUCAAGUUCCAAGAAGAGUCCAAGUCCAAAAUCCAUCAUCUUUCAGCCCAAAAGUCACAAAUAAGCUCUACAACCCCAUCUACCAGCACUGAGCAUAAAUUAAUUCUUCACGAUUAGAUGCUUAGGGAUAAAAUUAUGAAAUUUUGACACAACCUUCUUGGCAGAUUCAUGAACUGGCUCCAAUUGAAAUCACUCAAAAAUUCCACCGUUUGAUUAUUUUAUGCUCAAAACAAGUUCGCAUGUAGGGGUGGGUUCGGUUUAAAUCGGUUCGGUUUUUUGCUAAAACCGAAACCAAACCGAAAUUUCGGUUCGGUUCAUUUUUUUUUCUGUUUUUUUCUGUUCGGUUUUUUUUCGGUUCGGUUUUUUCCGGUUCGGUUUUUUGUUUUUUUUUUUCAAAAAUGAAAAACAUUGAAAUUUUAAAUUUUAACAUAUCCAACACAAUCAUAACAUAAGCAUUCUAACUAGAAUCAAAGACAAUGAAAAUAAACAUUUAAAAUUGAACUAAAAUCAUCAAUCAAGUCUUCCAAAGUCCAAACUAACAACCUCACAACACAAAAAUCGUACAAAUGACUUAGAAAAGUUAAAUUGUAUGAUGUUGUUCAAAGAUCAAGGUUGUUUGCUUGUAAUUGCAUGUUGACAACUUGAUUAGUAAAAAAUAAUGCGUGGGUGGAUUUUAUUUAGUGUGUGUUAGAGAUUCUUUUCCAUCACAAAUUACCCAAGUAAUGUACCCGAAAUAAAUGUUUAUGGAUUCUGUUACAUGUUAUAUGAGAGUAGAUUUGGAAAAGAAAGCUAGGGCAGAAGUAGGCAGUGCUAUGGAGAUGGAUGUAGGUACUUCUGAAGGAGGUUUGGUUCCGUAACCUUAUAUGGGAGAUAAAUAAUAGGUUAGGGUUUAGAGUUUUUAUAGGCCUUUUUAAAAUAUUUUGAGCUUAAAGUUUGGCAACACAUUGGGUUUAGCACAUUUUAACUAACAAAUUGGGUUUAGAAAAUAAUACCCAAAACAAAUAAUUAAAUAAAAAAAUUAAUUUAAUUAAUUCGGUUCGGUUCGGUUUUUUCAAUUCGGUUUGGUUUUUUCGUUCGGUUUGGUUUUUUCGGUUUCGGUUCGGUUUGGUUUUCGGUUUUUGGUUUUUUGAACCCACCCCUAUUCGCAUGUCCUACAUUAAAAACACAUAGCAAAACAUCAAAAUCUCACCAAAAUAAUAACUAAAAUAUACCAAGAAUAGGAAAUAAUAUAUACUAUAAAAUCGACUCAUGGUGAAGGACAACACUGAGCUGAGGAAGCUACUGAUUGACACGUCGAGUAAGUCUAUAAUUGUGAUUGAGGACAUUGAUUGCUCGCUUGAUCUUACCGGACAGCGAAAGAAGAAGAAGGACAAGGAUGAAGGGGGCAUGGAAGAAAAGGAUCCAGUUCGAAAUAAGAUGGAAGAUGAAGAAAACACACAGAGCAAGGUGACUCUUUCAGGGCUGCUAAACUUUAUCGAUAGGAUUUGGUCAGCUUGUGGAGGGGAGAGACUGGUCGUGUUUACGACUAAUUAUGUGGACAAACUUGAUCCUGCGGUCAUUAGAAGAGGAAGGAUGGACAAGCACAUAGAGUUGUCCUACUGCUGCUUCAAAGCAUUCAAAGUGCUUGCUAGGAAUUAUUUGGAUUUGGAUUCACAUGAGUUGUUUGAAACGAUUGCGCGUUUGUUGGGCAAAACCAAUAUGACUCCUGCUGAUGUUGCUGAGAACUAGAUGCCUAAGUCUGUUAUACAGGAUGCUGAGUCUUGUUUGAAGAACUUGAUCGAAGCUCUUGAGGAGGCAAGAGUGAAGGCCGAGGAAGAAGCGAAAUUAAAGGCAGAAGAAGCAGAAAAUGAUAUGAAAUAUAUAUAUAUAUUUUAAAUUGAGUGUUGAAGUGUGAUGUGGAGAACGGAGAAUAAUUUAUAUCGUGUUGGUCACGCCAACGUAUACUAAUUGGUGACCGAUUCUAAUAGAAAACGUCAGAAGCCGGUGUACUCAUCCUAUUUGAUUUGUGUGAACAAGUGAAGGUGAAUCGGCAAAGAAAAGAAAGUAGUGAAGGUGAUUGAUGUGACAAUGCAAUUUUUAUGUGUAAAGAAGGUAGAAUUUGUAUUAGGUGUGCAAAUUUUUUAAUUAUUACACUCACAAAUUUUUUGAUAUUCUAUGUUUACUAUUAAUUAGCAUGUAAAAUUUUAAUAAUUAUAUUGAUCCAUUUUGAUUGAUGUAAAUUAAUAAACCGUUUAUAUAAAAUUAUAUUAUUUUUAAAAAGGCGUGUUUAAUUAAGAUUUUAAGGGAUGAAUUAAAAUUUAUGAAUUUUAAGGUAAGAUGGAAAAGAUGGUUAACCAAUUUAAUUUUUGACACCUUGUUCUAAAAGGUCAUGGAAUAGGGAAAUGGAUCAUUUCCGGAUCAUUUACUCCUAAUCCACCAAAUCAGUAGAUCUGUGACAUUGAAAUUUGAUCUAACGGUUACAAACAGGGACCCACUUUAAAAGUUAUAAUAAUUUCAGCUUUUGAAUUAAAUUUUCAUGGCACGGAUCCACUGAUUUUGUGGAUUAGGAUGAAGGAAUCCGGAGAGGAUCCCUUUCCAUCAAAUAGCUUUGUAAGUAAGUUAGGAAUGCCAUUACUAAUUUGUAGGGCGAGUGAGAUUCCUCAUGUUAGGUGGGAAUUAAAAGGAACAAUGAAUGAAAUUGUUCUCUGUGGAAGUGUUUGUUUGGAAUAUUUUUAAAAUGAUUGAAAAUAAUUUUUUGUAAAAAUAUUUUUGGAAUUAAUUUUUGAUAAAAACGUAAGUAAAUUCUUUUCUCAGAAUGCACUUCAAGUACUUUAGGAAUCAAAAGAACAUUUUGUCUAACAACAUUUUUAAUCAUUUUAAAAGCAUUUCCAAACAAGUGCUUGUUUGAAAUAUUUUUAAAAUGACUGAAAAUAAUUUGUUUUAAAAUUAUUUUUGAAAUUAAUUCUUGGUAAAAACGCAAGUAAAUCAUUAUCUCAGAAAGCACUUCAAGUGCUUUGAGAAUCCAAAAACAUUUCAUCUGUUGAUGCACAAAAUCAGCGAAGACUUUGGUACAACAGAAAGUGUCAGGUUUUGUGACAUUCGCUUGGUUGCUUCGGUCACUAGUGAGGAUAAGUACGUAAAUGAAUAGAGACAGAGAAGCAAACACAGGAUGUACGUGGUUCACCCAGAUUGGCUACGUCCACGGAGUAGAGGAGUUCUUAUUAGUAGUGAAGGGCUUACACAAGUACAAAGGAUCAAGCUCUCAAUUUAGUGAGUUCUUGUGAAUGAUUUAACACAAAUGUCAUUAGGCAAUAUUGUGGGGGAAUGACCCCUAUUUAUAGAAAAACUUGUAGCUUUGUCACAUUGACAUGUGUCAUGUUAUGAUUGGUUCUUGAUGUCGACACGUGCUGCGCUCUGAUUGGCUUCUAAUCUUGACACGUGUCGAGUAGUGAUUGGCCUCCUGGUCGGAGGGGAACUCUUCUGGGUCCUUGACAGUAUAGCGUUGGCCGGUGCUCGGUAGUUUCGGGAUUGGUCAAGUAUGGUACAAACAUCAUCUAACAACGUUUUUUCAAUAAUUUUAAAAGUACCUCUAAACAAGUCAUGAUCAAAUGCUCCAUGCUCAAAGACCAAAAACAAUUCCUUGAAAAUUGAGUAGUAAAUGUUAUCGUAUACAAAAGUAUUCCAGUAGCCAAACUAAUUUUACUUCAAUUCAUGACCGUAAGUAAAUAAUUUAACGAGAAAACCGCUUUCUGUUUCAUAUUCAUAUCGAUUACCUCGUGACCUAAGUUAAAUCGAUCCCCCGUGUUAAAAAUAAUAUAUUUUUUAAUGUUUUACUAUAUAUUUUAUAUAAUACGUGAAGUAUUCGUUUAAAUACUAAUAUUUAAAAAAAAUAUCUUAUAAUCUUGGUCAUUUCAAUUCCAUGUAUGCGAACAUGCACAAUAUUCGGUCAAACUUGGUAGAUGGACAAAGCGAAAUUCAUAGAAAUCAAAGGUGGCCAAAUGGAAGCUGCCAGGAAGUUGAGUUGAUCAGAGCAUCUAGUUAGUUGGUCACACUACUCUGGAGGCAGUCCUGUGUCUAUAUAACUUCGCCUCCAUUUUCAAACCUCUAUCAGAGAGAAUUACAGCGUAAUUGUUGAAUUUCUUCUUGAGAAUACUGUUACUGUCGGACUGUCACGUGAUUUCUCCGUUCCCCGAUGGCAAAGAUGGGGGAAAUGUGGGGGCAGCUCGGCUCGGUGAUGGCGAGCAUGAUGUUUGCUUAUGCCAUGUUCAAGCAAUUCUUCCCAGACAAUCUCGGUGAUAUCCUUGAAAAAUACGGUCAGAAAUUAGUAGCCUAUGUCUACCCCUACAUCCAAAUCACCUUCGACGAAUACGACAGCGACUUUCACCGGCGGAGCGAGGUCUACUCCGCCAUCCAGAGCUACCUCAGCGCGAAAUCCUCGACGAGAGCGAAGCGCCUCAAGGCUCAUGAGGUUAAAGGAAGCAAGGCUUUGGUUCUAGGCAUGGACGACAACGAGGAGGUCACCGACGAGUUCGAGGGCAUCAAGCUCUGGUGGGCGUCCAAAAAGAGCGCGUCGAAAAAGACAUCCUUUUCGUUCUUUCCCGAGUACGAUGACAGGAAGAUGUACAAGCUGACGUUCCACCGCCGGCAUAGGGACGUUGUCAUGGGGUCGUAUCUUGACCAUGUGAGGCAGGAGGGGAAGGCGAUUGCGGUUAAGAACAGGCAGCGGAAGCUCUACAUUAACAACACCGGAAAGGGUACGAAGUGGAGCCAUGUGGUGUUUGAGCAUCCGGCGACGUUUGAGACAUUGGCGAUGGAUCCGAAGGAGAAACAGUCGAUAAUUAACGAUCUUUUGAAGUUCGGAAAAGGGAAGGACUACUAUAAGAAAAUCGGGAAGGCUUGGAAGAGGGGUUACCUCCUUUACGGGCCACCGGGGACAGGGAAGUCCACCAUGAUCUCCGCCAUAUCGAACUUAAUGAAUUAUGAUGUCUAUGAUCUAGAGCUGACCGCGGUUAAGGACAACACCGAGCUGAGAAAGCUGCUGAUUGACAUAUCCGGUAAGGCGAUUAUUGUGAUCGAGGACAUUGAUUGCUCCCUUGAUCUUACCGGGCAGCGAAAGAAUAAGAAAGUAGAGGAGGCCAAAGAUGGUGAUGAAAAGGAUCAAAUUCUGAAAAAGAAGGAAGAAGAAGAGAACACAACUAGCAAGGUGACUCUUUCGGGGCUGCUGAAUUUUAUCGAUGGCAUUUGGUCUGCGUGUGGAGGGGAGAGACUGAUCGUGUUCACGACUAAUUAUGUGGAUAAACUUGAUCCUGCUCUGAUUAGAAGAGGAAGGAUGGACAAGCACAUAAAACUGUCCUACUGCUGCUACGAGGCGUUCAAAGUUCUUGCUAGGAAUUAUUUGGAUUUGGAAACGCACGAGUUGUUUGGAACCAUUGAGCGCUUGUUGGGAGAGACCGACAUGACACCUGCCGAUGUUGCGGAGAAUCUGAUGCCAAAAUCUGAUGUCGAGGAUGCUGAGUCGUGUUUGAAGAACUUGAUUGAAGCGCUCGAGGCUGCCAAGGAGGCGGCGAGAGUGAAGGCGGAGGAGGAAGCAAAACAGAAGGCGGAGGAAGAAGCGAAACUGAAGGCGGAGGAAGAAGGGAAAUUGAAGGCGGAGAAAGAAGAAAAGGAGAAGAAAGAUGAAUCUACCAAAGAGGAAGUGAAAUGUAAUGGAACAUUAGCUGAAAAAGUUAAGGAAAAUGGUGUCACCCCAUUAAUAAUCUAAUCUAAACGAAAAGAUUAGUAAUUUGAAGUUUUUUUUUUAUGUCUUCCAUUAAUUUCAUUACUAUUUAUUAAAGUUUCUUAGAAGUUUUAAGGCUGUACUUAUCAUGUACAUUCUCAAUUGAUGAAGCUUUAUCAAUUAGAGUAAACGAAUCGCUAUGAUUAAGACAACAAAAUCCGACAAUUAUUCAAAGAACACGCGUAUUUGCAUGGUUCGGCCAAAUUAAUUGGAGGCUCGGAUGUCAAGAGCUUGACAUUCUUCAUCCCCUUGUGAAGGUGAAAGAAUGAAAAGUAUGGAGUGACUUGCUCUCUUAUUAGUCACUUAACUAAUUUUUUGUUUUCUGUGCACCUUGGACCAACCUGUCAAACAGAGUCAACAGUAGAAGAGCAGCUCCCAUCUGAAAUUUCUUUCUUUCUGUGCACUUUGGACCAACCUGUCAAAAUGCAACCUUGUCAAACGGAAUCAGCAGUAGAAGAGCAGCACCCAUCUGAAAUUUCUUAAAACUAGUCUUUAAAAUUAGAGAAAAGGAGAUUCAAACUCGGGAUUAAAAAACACACAUCUGCUCUAAGUACUUAUUCACCAGCCAAAGGAAUGAACCAAUGCCCCUUAUUUUUUUCCACCAUUCAUUAGUCAUGACAAAAAAAACCUAAACCUUCAAGAGGUUUGGAAAAAAAUAAUGCAUCCACUCUAAGUAGUCACUAUUUUGUAUCACCGUUCGACUUUAUAGAGCAACGGAAUAGACGACGGGCGGUGACCGUUUGCGUAUUCACCGGCCAACGGAUGAACCAAAACCCAGGGACAUAGAGAGCCACAGGACUGGCUGUGCUACAGCCCGUUCGACAUUUUUAUCUUCUUCUAAUAUCAAUUAUUGGGUGGAAAAAACAAAGGAUAUAUGUUCUACUGUACGCACUGAUCCCACUUGUUGGGUUAUGUUGUCUUCAGUGUCUCUUGCUUUUGUUAAUUUAUAUGUCUUUUGUUGUCCUUCGUUGUUUAGGUUAUUUUUAUUUUCUUCUUGAAACGUAUGUGGUUAAUUACUCUUGUCACUUGAUUAACAAGUUUUGGUAAAUUAACCUUUGACUAUUGGGAUUAAGGUCCGGUAAUAUGUUAUUUAGUAAUACGGUCUAGACUGUCUAGUAGUAUUCUUCUUUACAAGUUGAAGGUCUUAAAGCUAGAAUAUUUUAAACGACAAAUUUAUUACUAAUUUAUUAUGACUGGACCAUUGUAUGAACUAGGGCUAGUUUGAGCUUUGGUAAAUGUUGACCCUAGAAACUACCAAGCCUAUGUGGCGCGCAGGCCGAGUAAUCUAUAAGCUAACUACGUCCUUCGGUGAAUGCGGGGCGUGCCAACUCGUCGGCCGAGCUCGGCCGAGGAGUAAAUUUUGUUGAUGUUGCGUUGGGCGCGCGGCUGACUUCUGCGUCUUGCGAUUGCGGCCGAGAAAGGAACACGUCUCGGCCUCUUGGGCUCUCGAACCUGAAGACAAGGUUACUAUUCUUACGAAGUUCACGAGUCGUCGUCGUCGGAUUCAGUCACAGUGAUGUUAUUCGUCAGAGUAAACUCACGCCGAAUCGACACCAGAGUGUAAGGGCACAAAUACUCAAAGCAAAUAUAAGUUUUAAUGGUGAACGUGGUUCGGCCGUCCGAAUGCCGAACUCUAAAUCCCACUUGAGAAUAUCCAAUCAUAAAAUAACUCGGCAAGCAAAGUGCCGAGCUCGAUAUAUCGUAACACCUCACUUCGCCGAGAAGGCUAAUGAGAUGACCUCAAUCAAUAAGGAUCCGAAAAUCCUCCUUGACCGAGACUUGGAUAGGUAAUCAACCGUUCUCGCCGCAGUGUUGUUGAUGCCAACGGAAGAUACUGCGAGAUCGACUGAUUCUACGGUGACAGAGCUAUCUAUGCCGACUUAAGAUAUCGCCGGUUGCUUUCACAGUGCUGUUGAUGCCAACGGAAGAUGUGUCAGCGAAAAAGAAAGAAAAAUCUCAAGUUGUUGAGUUUGCGCAGGGCAGUUUUGUAUUGAUUUGCAGGGGGCUUUGAAUGAUGCGCAACCUCUUCUAUUUAUAGCAACGGCUCCCCCCAAGGUCGAGUUAAAAACCUACUCGGACUAAGUCUUCUUCUCCUGAUCAGCACCAACUCGACCAGUCCUACUUUCACUAGGAUUGUGAACCUAGUCCUUAACCGAGCCGGAUUCGCUUCCGGGUCCUGCCGAGACUUCUCAUUGCAUUAGGACUCGACUUCUUGCGUUAUGACCUAGCCGACCUAGGUUUGGAGGCCCACAUACUAAACGAUCCAUGGUAUUCUUGUCGCAAGGCCUUCUGGGCCGAGAAUGAUUCUAUACUCGGCCCAAACUAUUAUUUUGGGCCCAAACAUUGCCCUCUCGCUUCUGAGGUCCUCGGCCUGAAUUUGUUGGCCGAGGUUUGGCCUUCAAGAAGCGAAUGUAAUCCUCAGAACCCUAGUGUUCUAUUUCUAAGGCGCAUUUAUUGAGCACGAUUGCACGAUCUUGAUCCUGCUAACCAACUCGCCACGUGGCGUCUUCUAACACGACCAAUCCCCAAUAAUGAUGUCUAAGGCAUGCGGCUACCUGAACCGUCGUGCCAUCAUGACCUUAUGGUUGAACCUAGCCACUCUACCUCAAUCCGUGAGCCGCUUGUCAUCGUGUAGACGUCGAAACGUCUUUCGCCAUUAAUCUCGCCAUCACACGCAAUCGUGCGCCCCCAAAACCUAAGACCCUCGGUCUUCUCAACUGCAUUUCCUAAAUGUUCAUCAUGAUUAGCGAUUCCUUCGGUCGAUUUUGCCCUUUGUUUUGAAAUUCGAACGAUUGCCCUUCCUUCCAAAAUCCUAUAAAUACUGAGAAUCCCUCAUUCAUACUUUACGCUUUCAAAAUCUCUCUGAAAUUUCUUGCCCUUGUUCUCCAGCGCAGUUCUUUUUCCAAGUCUUCGUCUCCAAAUCCCCCAACCCAGAAAAACCCCUUUUUCACCGUACCUUUUAAACCUCCUACAAUGGCCUCCUUCAUCUCUAAGCUUUCCAAGGAAUGUGAUCAGUGUCAGAAGAUUCUUGAUCGAAGCUCAAUCAAAACCAUACGGUUUGAAAGUGACAUGAGCACUUCUCACCAAAUCUUGGGUCCUCUUUUCAAAGCGGCAGUACCGUCAGCCAUUACUGGACUUCUCCAGGAGCAUUGCCUAUCACCCUUGCUCCAAGGGUUUGAAUGGUCGAGAUGGGAUGCGGCGAAACCUCAAGGCUCCUGGCCUUCGACCACCACAACCUGGGCAGCCUGGGUUGUUCGAAUGGAAAAGCUCUUCGGCGAGCAAUGGAAGGCCAUCGGCAUCUACGACGCCAUCCUCCUCUCAUCUAUGGAUGUCGUUUUCGACAAGGAGCUUCUCCUAGCCGCCCUGUGCUUCUGGUGUUCGGCCACCAACACCAUGGUUCUCCCCCUUGGUCCUAUCGGCCCCACCAUUCUUGAUGUCACCACCAUCUUGGGCACCUCGGCAACUGGAAUCCCCAUCGAUGCGGCCCUCUCCGGGUACUCGUCGAAUCUUGACCUGAAGACGCUUUUUGAUCGACGGGCUUUUGAGACAUUGAGCCGUGAGGGUCAAAUCCCGUCGAAAGAAGACGUUCAGAAACUCCACAAGAACUUCUUCAAUUACAACACCCUCUAUCUCCAUUUCUCCGGCCGAGGAGAAGAGGCCCUGCGAGAAGGGGAACAUGAAGCUUUCCUCUUCUAUUGGUACAACAAGUACAUUUGUUGUACCAAGUCGAACAAAUGCUUGGUCGAGAACAUGCCGGUAGUCGAGGCCCUGGCUAGUGGUCACGUCCUGUCACUUAGCUACAACAUUCUUACCCAUCUCCUCCGCUGCCUGGCCGAGACGACCCUUCACAAGAUCGACCCACACCAGAAUGGUCCCCUCUGGGUCUUCCAACUCUGGCUGCAAGUUUACUUCGCCUCCCUUCGACCGGCCAUCGCUGAUUUCUCACCAAUGGAAGCGCUCGGACCUCAGCUGGCCUCCCGACCGAUACCCCCUCACCAAGCCGAAGAUGUAUUUAAGUACUUUUUCACCCUUAAUGACCUUUUCAACGACGAAUUCCUGAUAUGUCGUCGUCGAGACUAUCAUUCCUCCAUCAGGCUACCCAUAUCCAUGUGGGGCGCGGACGAAGAUGCCGACCUUCGUUAGUCAUGGGGGUCGUUCGUGCUCACUCGCGACCUUCAUCUCGGCUGUGAUGGGAAACGAGCGGGUUGGGAAGUGUACCAUCCUAACUUCCUUGCUCGACAGCUCGGCUACCUCCAAGGCUGCCCGGUCCCCAUUCUUUCCUCCCGCACCGUCUUAAGCCGUGGGCGCGAACUGGGCUCAUCGGAAAAGGAAUGCACCAUCGCCAAGAGGGAGUUCCAAGAGCAAUGCCAAAGUUUCCACCUUCGACCGGCCACCCCUGAAACCCUCUGCACUGACACCUUCGGCGAUUGGUGGGAACAGUAUACCCAUGAGUUCUUUGGGGCUCUGGUCGAAGGUGUGUUGAACAAACUCUUUGGUGACCGGCCUAAGAAGGCCUCGGCCCCCCAAGCUCAAGGUAAUUUUUUGUUUUUUUGUUUUGUUUUUUUUUUUGUUAAUUUGCCUUGCUGAUUUGCUUUUACUUUCUCAGGUAGUCGGUCGUUGAGAAAGGUGGAGGUGGUCGCUGCAACUGCGGCCGAGAAGAAAUCGGUCAUUGCUAAGAGGGCCAAAACUGCUGUGCUGCGCAAACGGCCUCGUCAAGAGGCCGAGCCGGUCAUCGAACCUCCACCGCCUGCCAAGCGGGUUAAAAAGCUGGCAAAGAAAGGAGCAUGGGAGAUCCACGUUAUCUCCAGUCAUACUACGGAGAUGACUCCCGGUGUUUCUUCUUCUCCCACCGUCGGCCAAACCUUGGUCGAGAAACAGCCAACUCCGAUCGCAGAAACAGUCCAAGCCCGGCCUGUUUCUGAGGUCGGGGCACCCGUUGUAGCUCCAUCGGUCGAGACUGCGCCUGUCCUAGAAAAGGCAGUCCCUGCGACCGAGGGGACUUCCCUCGUACAUCCAAAACCUUCGAUUUUCAUCCUGGAAGAGAGCGAGGGGAGCGAUGAAAUUCCAUUGGCGAGUCGCCCUCAUCCCCACCGUCGACCUCUACCUGCGUCCAAGGCGGCCGUUCCAGUCGGUCAUUCCACGGUCGACCGUGGCAAACGACCGGUCGGAGAGCCAACAAUGGUGGCGGAAACGCGUGCUCCUCCGCAGGACCAGGACCUCAAUCCUGCAUUCGAAGUGGCUGUCUCGAUCGGCCCUUCCAUGGCCGCCUGUGGCAAGCGACCUGCCGAGGAGCCAGAGGCGACGGCGGAAACGCCCGUUCAUCCUCAGGACCAGGACCUCAAUAUUCCUUCCCAGGAAGCCACUUCGGCCUUCGUAAGUACCUUCCACCGUAUCUCCUUGAUAACUUUUCUGCUUUAGAAUUCUAAACGAGGAAAAUACUAAAUGUCAGGUGCCUAUACACUAUUUUCAUCGAAAAUUCUAUGCGCCGAAGGGUGUUAUCUAUAUUUCUUGGCCGCCUCAGUGGCCAUCGAACGUAGAUUACCUCCAUCGGCCGCGUGAACUGAGAAGCAGUCUAAGACACUGGGCUCGGCCAUUGAGUUCUUUAGGUUCGAGCAACGAUCCUGGAGACAUGGCCGAGGUCUCCUCUCGGCAGGUUAAAAAAAAUGAAACCUUCUUGCUAUCCUUUUCAUGACUUCUUUUGAGCUUAACCUGAUUUGUGUGUGCAGGCUUCGUGGGAGGUCGAAUUCAAAGCCCUCAUCUCCAGCACAACUGUAGGGUCUGGUUCUUCGGCCGCCGCGACUGAAGCUGCCGAUUCAACUACUCUAACUCAGUUGCGAGAAGUCUUGUCGCUUUCGGCGUCGCAAGUACUCGAGCGCAACGGUCUUGAUUUGCUCGGCACAUGUCUGAACGACCUCGGAGCUGACGGUCGUUUGAGCGGAGAUGCUAUCGUUCGAGCAUCGUCUACCUUGGAGCGGGUUCGAGAGACAUUUAGUAUCUUCCAAACCGCUCUAAAGGAUGAACAAGACUUGCAAGCUGCCACGGCCGUCCAAGACACUCUCCGUCCAAAAAUUGACGCUUUAAAGGUAAAAGGAGAAGCAUUGGCUGAGCUUGACCGUCAAAUGGCCGAACUAGCGAAACGUAGGUCGGCCAUUGCCUCCAAGCUUGCUAAGGACUUCGAGUCGGGCGGAAAAGAUUGCCUAACCGAGUAUGCGGCGAACACAAAACGGGUCGAGCGGUUGAAGCUGGAUAAGAGGAACCGGCAAGUCGAGGUUAUCAUGGGUGAGGUGCGAUGGUUGGAGUUGAAGGCCCUGCUCGGCACUCUUCUACCCUCUUCACCUUGAAUGUACUUGAAUGUAAACCGAUCGACUUACUCAUUUUGUACAUGCUUAUCAAUCUUAAUGAAUUGGUUUUCUAUUCCUGCAUUUCCCAUAUGACCGGAUAGUAUUUCUUUAAAAACUUCCCAUUGAUUGGUAAUCUAUGCACUACACCGGUUUGGUCUUUGAGAUGAUACGCACCUUUUCCGUAUACUUUAUGCACAACGAACGGCCCCUCCCAAUUUGGCGACCACUUGCCGAACCUAGGGUCUUUUAGUCCUACGGGUAACACCGUUUGCCAAACCAAUUCACCCUCGCCGAAUGUUUUCUGACGCACCUUUUGAUUAUAGGCUCGCUCGGCAAUACGUUUUUGUGCCACCAGUAAGUUAUAAGCGUCAAGUCGUGCUUGAUCGGAUCAUAUUUAUAUAUAUUUUUACUUCAAAUUUACCCGUCUUUUCUUAGUUAGUUCCUUAUAUUUUUUAGUUAUUUACGUUAUUUUUGUGUUUAUAGGAUUUGUUAUGCAAAGAAAAUAAAAAUAGAACAAGUUAAAUUUUAUGUAAUAAAUUCGUCAAAAGCAAAUUUAAAUUACAAUAUUGCUAAUCCAUUGUGACGCUAAAUGAUAAACCAAUAUUUAAACUUUAUAUUUCAUCCUUUUAUAUGUCUUCUCUUGUCUAAUUUAGUUGGAAGCUUUAAGUAUUUAUGAUACUUUUGAUAUUUUGUGUUUGUAGGAGUAACAUGAUUAAAAGAACUUAUUUUUCUGCUACGUGAGGCUGCUAGAAACUAAAUGAAAAUAAAGGUGCGUGGCUUUGCCAGAAAAGUGGGGAUUCCACUUAAUUUGCAGAAAAUAGCAAAGAAAUUAGAGAAGAAAGUGGAGAGCACGGGGGACAUCAAUGAUGGGGUUUCCACUGGUGGCCUUGGGGGCUUUGAAAAGAAAUCAUUGCCUUUUGUUUAAGGCAACAGACGGAACAGCUGGUUUACAUCGUGGGAGGGUGAAGAAAGGAAUAAAAAAAAGAACCAAAAGCUGCCUUUGCAGCUGGAGAGAACACGAGAGGGCAGCGAGGUCAGAGAGAAGCAGCAAAGCUUCAGUGCCAGCGCGGGGAGACUGUCAGAAGCAGGAGAUAUAAGGGGGCGGUCUUGGGGGAGAAACGAGAAGAAAAAGGGGGAGCUGCCUUUGGGCAGCUCGCAGAGACGCAAGGGACAGGGUGAGCACAGGGAGCUGCCCUUUUGGGCAGCGUGAGAGUGGAGAGAGCAAAGGAGAGAGGGCUGCCUUGGCAGCGUGUGAAGAAAAGCACACGGAACAGGAAUUGGAGAGCAGAAAGCUGCCUUUGGGCAGCGUGAGGGACAGAAAAUAGAAAGAAAAUAGAGGGAGGUCAGAGAGGUUAGACGAGAGAGCAGUGGGAGACGCGGGGGGAUAGAGGUGACUGACGAGAGAGGGAGCUGCCUUUGGCAGCACGGGGUCAGCGAGAAGAAGUCAUAGGGGAGUUUUGAGAACCAGCGUGGGAAAGGACAGCAGGCACGGGAUUGGAAGGCAGGGCAGAGGAAUAGAUACGGGACAGCCAAGAGAGGGUCAGAGAAGAAAAAGCUGCCCUUGCAGCCUUGAAAAACAGAAAGCUUGCGCGGACGGGAGGAGAGAGUAGCGCGGAUGGGAGGAGGACAGAGACAACGUCAGGUGGACAGAAGCUGCAAGCCUUCUCUCUCUCGGUUAAAUCUUUCUAAAACUUCUAUUUUAUUUCUAUUUUUAAUAAUGUGUAAAUAAAUUGAUUUUGGCUAGAGGUUAAUUCAAAGCCAUGAUUAUAUCUGUAAUAUGAAUUGAUUACCUUCGGUUGUGAUUUCAUAAGUUGUGAUUUCAAUUUACUUAUCCGUUCGUAUAAAAACUGAUUUGUGUAUGUUGGUUGAGAGUGCACGCUUAAUUUACAUGCAUGAAUUUGAUGCUAGAAUAUAAGUGAAUUUCACCUAAUCGUUAUGAACUUAUUUUCACAAGUAGUAAAGGUUGCUAGUCACAAUCACGUUAAGUAAAUUCUUGGCAAGAGUAUCAUGCUUUUCAUAGUUACGAAUGCCUCGUCAAUGCUUAUAGUUUUCACAAAGUUUAAUGAUCUUUGAUUGUAUCGCUAUUGUGCUUUUCACGUAGGGGACUUUUGAAGAAUGUUUUGAAUUGUUGUAUGUGUUUUUCCGUCCAAUUCAAUAACUUAAGGAAAACUUGAAGAUUAAAAAAGUGCUGUUCACGGUUAAUCUGGAGUAUUGAGAUUCACAAUUUAUUGAAGGAACAACUGAAAAUCAAUUUAGGUUGCAUAUGUGUCAUGUGUGGAGAAGAACCCUCUAGCUAGUCCGUCAUUUAUCAUUUCACCUUAAUUUCAUGUUUUUGUCAAUUCUGUAAUUUAAUUAAGUUUAAUUUAUUUUUCAUCAAAACCAAACACCCAUCCAUUAUUAAAUUAUAUUAUUUAGUUAGUUUUCAUUAUUGUUAGUCUUUCAAUUCGAUUUCCGUCCAUUUCAGUCCUAGUGUUUAAUUUGAUUAUUUUCAUUAUUUUGAGUCAUCCUAAGUGUGUUUCGAGUUAUUAGAGUUUUUAGCCUAGUUUUGUGUCCUUGAGUCUUGUUUAAUAUUUUUAAAUUAAUUUAGAAUAGAUUAGCAAUCCCUCCUAAUCCCCGGCCUAGAACGAUACCCUACUUACAUCUAUACUACAAUUGUCAAAAAGAGGGUUUAAUUUGUGUGUCAAGAAAUUCACGCACCAGUGCUUCUUCCAAAUCUUCUAAUUCCUGUCUCAUGGACUGAUUGUAUUCGGCGCUAAACAAACUACUUUGUUCAAUUAAUCGCAACGAAUUUAUGCUUAACUCGACUGGUAACAUUGCAUCGUGUCCGUAGGUUAAUGCAUACGGGGUUGUCGCAGUCGCCGAUCGGGGCGAUGUUCGAUAUGCCCAUAAUGCCUCGUUCAACUUCAAAUGCCACAUGCCGAGUCUUUCUUUUAUUAUUUUUUCGAGGAUGCCGAUCAACACUUUAUUACUUGCCUCGGCCUGCCCAUUCGCUUGUGGAUAAUACGGUGUAGAUUGUUCGAGCUGAAUUUUUAAAUUUGCCAUAUACUCUUUAAACCUUUCGGCUGUGAAGAUUGUUCCAUUGUCAGUUAUGAUCGUUUCUGGUACGCCAAAUCUGGUCACAAUGUGUUCCUCCACAAAAUCGCAAACUUCUUUAAACGUUAGCUCGGCAUAUGAUUUUGCUUCGACCCACUUAGUAAAGUAAUCGGUUGCGACUAUUAUCCAUGCAUGCUUGGCAGCUCCGGAGGAUGGCGUGAUUUUGCUGAUUACGUCCAUGGCCCAUCCUCUAAACGACUAUGGUUUGAUGACCAAAUGCAAUGAUUCGGCCGGGACCCUUUGUAUAGGUCCGUGGAUUUGGCACUGUACGCAUCCUCGUGUAAACUCGAUACAAUCCUUUAGUAUUCUUUGCCAAAAGUAACCGUGUCGUCGAAGUAGCCAUCACAUUUUUCGUCCGGAUUGAUGAGCUCCGCAAACCCCUUCAUGGACUUCUGUGAUCGCCCGAGCACCCUUUUGGGGGCUGAGGCAUAGCAGUAGCAAUCCAUCCUCCCCUUUUCGGUAUAACUCGUUUUGGUACGUGACAUAGUUCGUGGCGUGGACUCGUGUCUUGCGACUAUGUUUUCCAUCGGGAUUGUCAAGGUAUUGCAUAAUGGGUUUUCUCCAAUCAUUUGGUGUUGCCUCGACGGUACAAACCUCUAUAGUAUCUUGUCGGUCUAGCAAUGAAGGUAAAGACAUGACCCGAGUGCGUAUUACAUCGUUGCGCCGGAGGAUUUGCUGGUUGACCAAGGCUGGGUAUAGUUGUCGUAACACCGGUAUUUCCCGGCCUAGCUUACCCCCCAGGAGUUGUGCACCAGAGGCAAUUUGAGCCAACUCGUCCGCGUCGGUAUUAUGGAUCCGGGAAAUAUGUUCGAACGUAAUACCGUCGAAGGACUCGGCCAAAUAGCUGGCAACCAUGUGGUAGGGUGCCAGGGUACAACUCAUGCAGCGGAAAGACCCAUUAAGUUGGUUAAUCACAAGCUCAGAGUCGCCGAGGACGAGGGCACGGGUGGCCCGCAAGUCAUGAAGGAGGCCAAGGCCGAUGAUUAGGCCUUCAUAUUCGGCCUGAUUAUUGGUGUAGUCAAAAUCCAACUUAAGCAAAAAAUAUCAACGAUCGUGAUUAGGAGAUUGAAUGACAACUCCAACGCCGGUCGAGGAUGAAGUACUGGACCCGUCAAAAUACAUCGUCCAAUAGUUGUCGCGUGUUUCAACCAUGCCGAUUUCGACAUCAGUGUCCCCAAAACCGUAGGGGGAGGGGUGGUGAGCAAGGAAAUCGGCCAAUGCUUGGCCUUUGACAGCUUUCUGGGGCACGUAUUGCAGGCUAAAUUCGGACAACGCCAUCGUCCACUUCCCAAUUCUCCCUUUUACGAUUGGCCGGGUAAACAUGUACCGGAUAACGUCGGUCUGGGUAAUGACUUGUGUGACCGACGGAAGCAUGUAAUGUUGGAGCUUGGAGGCGGCGAAGAACACGGCAAGACAGAGCUUCUCAACGGCGGAAUAAUUGAUCUCCGGUGGAUUAAGAUUUCGACUGAGGUAAAAAAUAGCCUGCUCUCGCCCGACAUCAUUGUCUUGGGCAAGGAGGCAGCCGAUGGACUCUUCAGCCGCCGAGAUAUAUAGUUUGAGGGGUUUACCGUGCCGAGGUGGAACAAGGAAAUGUGGUGUCGUGAGGGAGACUUUGAUUUGUGUAAACGCCGCUUUAUGCUCGUUCGUCCAUGUAAAUGUAUCCGAGUCCUUAAGUUUCAAAAGCGUUGAAAACGCUUUCAUUUUCCCUGCCGAGUUAGCGAUAAAUCGGCUGAGAAAAUUUAUCUUGCCGGGUAAGGACUGCAACUGUUUCUUCGUAGUCGGGGGUGGAGCACUGAUGAUUGCACGUGCUUUAUUUUCGUCCACUUCAAUCCCACGGUGAUGUACCAGGAAACCGAGAAAAUUACCGGCUGACACACCGAAUGCACAUUUGGCAAGAUUCAUUUUGAGAUUGUGUUGGAGCAUAUGAAGGAAAGCUUGUCGGAGAUCAUCCACAUGAGUCCGCCGUUGUUUGGAUUUAAUUACAACAUCGUUAAUAUAGACUUCGACGAUGGUUCCAAUUAAGUCAUGAAAUAUGGUGUUCAUUGCCCGUUGGUAUGUGGCGCCGGCAUUUUUGAGGCCGAAUUGCAUAACAACCCAUUCGUAAGUGCCGAGUGUCCCCAGGCAGCGGAAAGCAGUUUUGUGCACAUCGGCUUCAGCAAUGAAAAUUUGGUUGUACCCGGCAUGUCCAUCCAUAAAGGAUAAGAUCGCAUGAUUCACCGCGGCAUCGAUUAAUAGAUCUGAAAUCGGCAUUGUAUACUCAUCUUUGGGAGUUGCCAGAUUCAGAUUUCUGAAAUCGAUGCAGAUGCGCAGUGCACCAUUCUUCUUUAAGACAGGAACGAUAUUCGCCAACCAUUCCACAUAUAAAGAGCUGUCCGAAUGAACCCGGCUUUCAAAAGUCGAACCAGUUCAUCCUUGAUACCGAGUUGCACUUCGGUCGAGAAUCGAUGAGGUGGUUGCCGAAAAGGUUUACAUCCGGGCUUAAUACGUAAUUCAUGCUCGACAAGAGUGCGAUCUAAGCCGGGCAUUUCAUGGUAGCUCCAAGCAAAACAAUCUUUGAACUCUGUAAGCAAGGCACAAAGUUCGUCCUUCAUUUGUUGGGGAAGUAAUGCACUAAUAAACAAAGGUCGUGGGUCGUCAGCCGUCCCAACGUUAAUCUCUUCCAGGGGGUCCUUAACUUGGGGCUGAUGAUCUUCGAGCUCGGCCGGGGCGGUUCGAACUUUGUCAAGGGAUAAGACAGGACCAUUAUUUCCUUCGGCAAGGAACUCGACGAGGUUAACGCCCGAAUUUGGUUGUUGAGAUAUAGUAUACCAAUGGGCCAGCAGUCGUUCCAUAGUAGAUGAAACCGUGGCCCUACGUUCCUCCCGAUCGGUGUCAAACAUCGGCUUCGGGGAGAAAGUUGGCUAAUCCGAGUCUCGCCGAAUCCUGGUGGACAGUCUCGGCGCCAACCUCGAUAGCUUUCUGAACAGAAAUCUGAGUCGGUCGUCCUUCAUCAUUGAAGCCUUGCAAAGUAAUGUAGCCGACGUAGUCAUCAUAGUACCGUGCUUGGAUCAUGUUGGUUUCGAAGGGUUGGCUAUCGGCCGGGUGAACAGUGACCGAUUUGCCGUCCCAAAAAAUGAGCACUUGAUACAAUGAGGAAGGAAUACAGCUGGUUUGGUGAAUCCAAUCUCGACCGAGUAGUGCAUUAUACUCGGUUUUAGAAUCGACCACGAAAAAGGCGGUCAUGUGAAUGCGACCAGCAAUAUUCACUGUUAGCGGAAGGACACCUUUGGUUUGGGAUUUGUCACCGACGAAACUACUCAUUGUGAUCCCUGACGAAAUAAGUUCGUCAUUAGAGCAACGUAAGGCUUUCAUGAUGUUCAUAGGCAUGAUAUUGACAGUAGCUCCACAGUCGACAAAAACUUUAGAAAUUGGAUAUCCCUCGAUAUGGGCCGUCACAUACAAUGGCUUUAAAUGAUGGAGGUUGGCCGAUGGUGAACGAGGAAAUAAUUCGGCCAAAGCUGCUUUGAUAUUGUCAUCUUUUGUUGUAGAGUCAACUUCAGCAACGGAGACGAAAUCAACAUGGCCGGCUUCCUCGGCGACUACAUCACCAUCGAGGAAAUUUAGCUGAGCUGUGCUGGAUUGAAAAGCAGCAAGUAACACAUGGACCAUAUUGAUUUCCAUGUUAUCCAAGACGGAUGGGCCCAUCAGGUUAGGAUCCUCCUCGUUAACCUUAUCUCUCGUCUGGUUGGCGACUACAGCUUCCGUUGUUGUCAGAGUUGGACAAAGAGACUCUUCUGCUCCUUCUUCAAGGGUUUGAUCCUGUGUUGUUGCUUCGGCAGCUUGUUGGUUCUGCGUUAUCACCUCAAGUGAGGUUGAGGUCGACAGUGUGUUUGGGGUCAAGAUCCGAGCCUGCUCCUGGUAGUGUAUCCGGGCAUCCCUGGUGUCGAGAUAAGCAUCCAAUCGCGCAACACGUGCUAUUUCAUCGGUCGUAAGGCCGAAGAGAGAAACAACCGAAAAUACUUCGAAGUGAUAUCGUAAAUACUGAAGAUCCUCUAUUGAGAAAGGAAGGUCGGCUGCAUCGAUAUCAGUGUAUAGGUCGACUUCAAAUCCAAGGACACGAGCUUCUCGUAUGUGCUGGAAUCUUGCUUUCAAUCCUGGGUCUGAGGUCUUCUGAAUGAUUAGCUCGGCAUCAGGACAAAUCAGGACUAGAUCAAUUGUAUCCUGACAUGCCUUCGGCAAGCCAUACAGAUCAUUGGCCGAAUGUUUCUUAUGGAAUUCUCGCAUGUACUCCAAAGCCUCCCCGAGGAAUGGUGGGUGCAAAUUCCGUCGAAUUUUAAUCAAAGGUUCUUGUAUGGCCGGCGGGGGUAAUUUACUUUCGGCCUCCUGCCUGAAAUGCUCGAGGCGUGCCUUCAUCUCCCCCGGGCGAAGAAGAAGUUUGAUCCGUUUAUCAGCCUCUUCGAACGUGGUUUCGAUAUCUCGGUUGACCAGCCGUUUCCCUUGAACCAACUCUGUCAUAAUAGCUGGAGGUGGUCGUUCAUCAUCAGUAACAAUUGUGUCCUUCAACCGCCAUUGAGGAGCCGAAGUUUCUUGGGCCGCUUGUCGGCGGGCCAUGCAAUCUAUCCUUUGGUGCCGGCGUUUCUGGGAUUUGGACAGUGCGGUGUAAACGCCUUUCGAAGAAUGAUAUGUAUACCAACGUUGAUCGCUAGGUUUAGGAGGUUUGAAAGUUUUUUGGCUCCGCGAUGACUCCGAACUGCUAGAAUUACGUUUAUAGUAGUCAUCGUCGUAAAAUGAAGCAUUAAAAUCAAGACGUCGCCUGACUGAGGGUGCCUCUUCCAUCCUCACUUUGGGACCGAGCCUAUCAAAAACCCCUUGAUGUUGGCCUACGUCGGCAACCUUCUGCUGGGUUGCGGCCGUAGGUCGUUCCGUUAUAAGCGAAGAGGGCUUCUCCUCUGACUCACUGCCGACCUUUGCUCUACAUUUACUGCACAAAACCGCUGUCCCACUGUCUUCAUCGGUGGUAUAAUCUAUCAUAGGUUUGACAAUAGCGGGUCCCGUUAAAGCUGUAGGCGGUUUGUGUGAAUGAAAAUCGGCCAUGAAACGUGGCCGAGAACUCUGAUUUCGAAAGUGUUGCGUCGCAACAUCUUCGGCCUUCCCUUUCCCUUUGUCUUUAGGUAGGCACACAUCGACCAUAUUUACUGUUGCCGUGGGGAACGGGUCAGUAUCAACACUCAUCUUCUUCUCUGGAAUUUCAGUUUGCCAUUAUCAAUCCAGCUUUGGACGUUGUCUCGAAACACGACACAAUUGUUUGUCGUGUGUUUGCUUGAAUUGUGGUAUUUGCAAUAUAUCUUCCCUUUAAGCUCUUCGGCCUUGGGAAUGUUGUGCCCAGGCCGAAGUUUGAUGAUCCUUGCUGAUAAGAGUUGAUAAAAAAUUGCAUCGGCUUUUGUAAUAUCAAAUGUAUAAACUUUCGACGGUUUCAGUGCUCCUUCAGUAGCCGAGCGGGUUUUGACUUCCUUAGAAUCAACUUGAGUCAGUGCCUUGCAGACGUAUGGCUUAUCUAUCACUAUCUCAGCUGCAUCCACACUAACACAUUCAUCCUCGGUUGAUGCAUAACUGACAGUAGGAUUCUUGUAAAUCGUCCCCCGAGAUGGAGUUUUCGAAAUCUUUUCCUCGUGGAGCAAAUCAUCAUACUGCUCGACAUGCUGUGCUAAUUCGUACAUAUCCCGAAAGUUUACCCCCAAGAAUUUCAUUUUGUAUUCGACGUCAAGACCGUUCAGAGCAAGUCUGACGAAUUCAACUUCGGGGAGAGGCACUCGGCACCAAUUCCUAGCUGAUUUGAAUCUAGUAAGAUAAUCCAUUGGUGACUCGUCGGACGCCUGAGCCAUCCUUGCUAGUGAGGAUACUGACAUUUCCAUUCCCGGCCGAUAAAACUGCUCAUGAAAUUUCUCGACCAACUUCUCCCAACUCUGGACGGAGUUCGGUGGGAGGUUAAUAUACCAAGCGAAUGCUGAGCCGAUCAACGAAAAAUUGAAAAGUCGCAGCUUGUGAAAGUCACUAUUAACGUAUCCGCACUGUGCGGUGAAGCGAGCUACAUGUUCUAACGAGGAUAAGGACGAUUCUCCGGUAAAAAGGCUAAAAUCUGGGAUCUUGAAACCUCUAGGGUAUUCGACCUGUUCCACGUAAGCUGGAUACGGGUGUAUAAACUUAGGGAACUUCAGCCCUUUCUUCAUGGCUGAAUCGAUCAUCCGUUGAACUUCGGUCAUAUCGACGGGCAUUACUUCCGCUCUCUGGUCGGAUCCGUCUGACCUACUAUUCGACCCUCCUCCUUUUUCCAAUUGAAGUGGCCUGAGCCGAGCAGGAAUUGGCUCGGCCGGUGCACUUGAUAAUAGAUUAUUCCUUGGCGGCAAAUGCUGGGCAAGAUCGAAAAUUCUACCAUCGCUGACCUUACUAACCAGUAUUUCGAGUAAUCUGGUUUGUGCUUCACUGGAAAUGCGUAUCACGUCAUGAAGCUUAUCGAUUCCUCGACUCAAUGUCUGUUCAACUGUCCGAGAUUGCUCGUCAAGCCGUUUUCGAAUAAACGACCUUGUGGGUGGAUCGGAUCCUUCGCCACCAUUUUCAUCACAAUCUUCUAUUACUCCUUCAUUGAGAACGCAAGUGUUCCUGUCGGGAAUUUCAAGACUGCGAACCUGACCGCCGAGAUUAACUUCCCUCUCUCGGCGAGUUGCGCUCGUAGACUCAGGUGUCACGGCGCUGAUGGGAUUUUGCGCUUGUGGCACAUGGUGUCCUGCGUUCUGAUUUGGUAGAUCGGAUGUCGACUUUCCCAUAGUUGUUUUCUUUUUUACCAAUCGUGUUUCAAUUGGCAUGAACUUCGUAGUCUAGCACUGGGUCCCACUGGGCGUGCCAAAAUGUUGACCCUAGAAACUACCAAGCCUACGUGGCGCGCAGGUCGAGUAAUCUAUAAGCUAACUACGUCCUUCGGUGAAUGCGGGGCGUGCCAACUCGUCGGCCGAGCUCGGCCGAGGAGUAAAUUUUGUUGAUGUUGCGUUGGGCGCGCGGCUGACUUCUGCGUCUUGCGAUUGCGGCCGAGAAAGGAACACGUCUCGGCCUCUUGGGCUCUCGAACCUGAAGACAAGAUUACUAUUCUUACGAAGUUCACGAGUCGUCGUCGUCGGAUUCAGUCACAGUGAUGUUAUUCGUCAGAGUAAACUCACGCCGAAUCGACACCAGAGUGUAAGGGCACAAAUACUCAAAGCAAAUAUAAGUUUUAAUGGUGAACGUGGUUCGGCCGUCCGAAUGCCGAACUCUAAAUCCCACUUGAGAAUAUCCAAUCAUAAAAUAACUCGGCAAGCAAAGCGCCGAGCUCGAUAUAUCGUAACACCUCAAUUCGCCGAGAAGGCUAAUGAGAUGACCUCAAUCAAUAAGGAUCCGGAAAUCCUCCUUGACAGAGACUUGGAUAGGUAAUCAACCGUUCUCGCCGCAGUGCUGUUGAUGCCAACGGAAGAUACUGCGAGAUCGACUGAUUCUACGGUGACAGAGCUAUCUAUGCCGACUUAAGAUAUCACCGGUUGCUUUCACAGUGCUGUUGAUGCCAACGGAAGAUGUGUCAGCGAAAAAGAAAGAAAAAUCUCAAGUUGUUGAGUUUGCGCAGGGCAGUUUUGUAUUGAUUUGUAGGGGGCUUUGAAUGAUGCGCAUCCUCUUCUAUUUAUAGCAACGGCUCCCCCCAAGGUCGAGUUAAAAACCUACUCGGACUAGGUCUUCUUCUCCUGAUCAGCACCAACUCGACCAGUCCUACUUUCACUAGGAUUGUGAACCUAGUCCUUAACCGAGCCGGAUUUGCUUCCGGGUCCUGCCGAGACUCCUCAUUGCAUUAGGACUCGACUUCUUGCAUUAUGACCUAGCUGACCUAGGUUUGGAGGCCCACGUACUAAACGAUCCAUGGUAUUCUUGUCGCAAGGCCUUCUGGGCCGAGAAUGAUUCUAUACUCGGCCCAAACUAUUAUUUUGGGCCCAAACAGUAAACUUUAUUUUUAAAAGUCUUUUCAGUAUGGAAAGGAGUGUAAAAGUGAUUGGUAAAACUUUGGUGAAAAAAUGAUGUAAUUGUAUACAAUGAUAAAAAUGAACAUGAUAGUGUGAGUGAUAACCACAAGAACAGUAGCUAGGACAAUAGUUGUGAUGGUGAUGUGGUGCUAAUAAAGGGGUGUGUUGGUUGGUGAGCUGUAGAGGUAACACUGGUGAUAGUGGUGACAACAAUAGCAAUGAUAGUAACAGGAUGUAGACGUAUGCAUUUUCCCUUUAGAAACAAAUUAAUUUUUCCAGCACACUCCACUUCAAAUUUCUCGUUACGUCCUCUUCUUUUCCAUCAUUAAAAAAUGACUUUUUUUUUAAUUAAAAAAAAAAACAUCAACUCGUACAACGGAGUUUCUCUUAAAAACAGAAAAAUAUGCCAAAAAUAAUUGUCUUUUGUAGUCUUUUGUCAACAAUGGCGGCUACCUUCGGAAGAAGAGAUUUUUCAGUAUUUCCGUCACACGAAAUGUUACAUCAUGUAUCUUUACAUAAAUGGUGGGUUACGUAUAUUAAAAGGUUAAUAACUUAAAAAUUAAAAGUUUCCACCACUUGCAUAAAAACACAUGUUGUAUCAUCCGUGUUCUCGUCACAACUAAAAAUUUUCCCUUCGGAAGAUCCCAGCAAACUUCCUCAUUUUUUUCCCUUUAGUCACUGAGUUAUCGUAAACAACUAAAACUUGGCUUUUAAGAAAAGAACAAAUACUCCACUCUAUAUAAAACCAUGUCUUUCAUUGAGCAGAAACAAAAUUAAAACCCUUAACCUUCAAGAGAUUCCGUAAACCCUUCGGUCAGAAACGAAGAUGAUUGGGGGAAUGUGGCCUCAAAUGGGCUCGGUGAUAGCGAGUAUGGUGUUCGUUAUCACCAUAUUUCAACGAUACCUUCCCCUCCAACUUCGGGACCAUGUCGAAGGAUACACUCAAAAAUUAGUGGGCUUUGUCUACCCUUACAUCCAAAUCACCUU